rnacentral:lncRNA from 1 species
AUGGAGGACCAAGAAGGCCUCAUAUGGUAACAUUUCCCUCGAUCGAGAAAAAAGGUAAUUAUGUGUACCAUUUGGUGUUCAACAUGUUGCAGAUCUAACAAUAGAUUCCGCAGAUAAUCCCGGAGUGAAUCCGGAGAUCCUACAAGAGGAUGAACAAAGAGCUCAACGAUAAUUAGAAGCUGGCGAGUGUGUACUUACGCGGGUCAGGCGGGAGAAAAACGAUCUCCAGGAUGCCAAUACCCGGCUGAGCGUAGAAUUGAAAGAUGUUCGUGCCCAGCUAGAUGACUACGUGAAGGAGAAUAAAAGGCUUGAACGCGACAUUUUUAUUAUGUGCUCAAACGAACCUUUAUAUAGUUCGGCGAAGAAACAGGCCAACAGAGUUAUUUCUGUAGGUAUGCUGACGGGUCGUCCCGAAGAGGAGAUGCCCGGAUACUUAGGCGAUCUUCUGCAAGAGCUUUCGCAACUGCACGAACAAGUUCGGUAGGUGAUGCAGGGUGGCGCCAAGGCCUUGUGGCCAUCCGCCUCCCUGCCAGGAAGCAUGGGGGAGCUUGUUCAAUUGCUCAAGGGAGCACGGCGGCGUUUCCGACUAUGGAAGAUAUCUGCCUGUCGACAAGGUGCGAGGGAAGCUUGGGCCAUGGUCAAAACACGGUAUACCAAGCUCGAUCCAAAUCACAUGGCCCGGGUCAGAUGGGCAGGAGAUUCCUGUUAGUCGUGUCUAUGACCAGGUAGGAUUAGCUGUAAAGUAUUCCCCACAGGAUUGUAGGCUAGACAGCCUGUUGGAUGGCAUAGAAGACGAAGUAUGUGAGUCUAAGUGACUAUGUACUUCAAUUGACAUAUUUGUCCCUAGCCGGAUUGUAAAUCAUUUGUCAUCGCGGACCUUUUUGCUUUGGCCUCCGGACCCAACAGUCCGGAGUGUUUCCGAAUACCCGCUCGGUUAUAUGAACUGGGGUACGCGUGGAAACCAGGUGUAGGGGUCAUAAUUGCUUGAACAGACAAGUACCCAACUAUCAAUGUUAUAUUACAUAGAUAGUAAGAAACAUCUUCCAGAGAGAAUAGUUUCAUUAAGGGUUCCUUUUCCUGGGUACGCAUGCAUUAAUGUGCAUGUCCGAAUUACGAGCAAAAGCGCAGUAUAUGCAACAUCUGGGGGUUUGUAUUUGUCGGAUAUCGUGUUCCGACAGACUCGUGAGGUUCAAACUCUGGGGUGCGCACGAAGAUCUUUCCCCUACCAGCUCACGUCUCGAAGCCUCACAAGGGAUCUAAGCUAGAAAGAAGAACACACAAGGGACACGAGGUUUAUACUGGUUCAGGCCACCAUUGUGAUGUAAUACCCUACUCUAGUGUGUGGUGUGGUGGAUUGCCUCAGGAGAUGAUGAUGAACAAUACAAAGGGAGAACAGCCCCGCGAGGGGCUGUUCUUGAGCUGGUGCGAUGAACUGCUUAGGUGAGUUCAGUCGCCUCUAUCUCUCUAGUCUACCCGAAACCUCUCUCUCCCUCACUCUGUGGUGGCUAGCUCUAUUUAUAGAGGGAGGCCCUGGGCCUCUUCCCAAAUAAUGAGCGGGAAGGGCGCCAACAAUUGGCCAUUUCGAAGGGGAACAUCUAGUACACUUAUCCUGACUAAAGUUGGUCACCAACUGCCAAAGACUCUGACGGUGACGCCGUCCUGGGCUCCACGAUGACCUCCAUCCUGCCGUUCUGCUAGUCUUGGUCUUGUUGCACCAAAACGGUAACCUUUGCCUGAUGCCUUGGUCUGUGCUUGCCCCCUUUGCACCGAAGGGGAAGCAAGGACACUGCGCAGGCCGGCGCCCGCCUGGUCUCGACCGUCAUGGCUUGCGUCACGGGCACCUCACGAGGUACCCUGCCUUGAUCUCUCCGCCUCCUCGCGAGCCCGCCUAAUGAGACUGCUCCUGAGGAGGCUUCCUGUCAUCCGCCCCGCGAGGCUUGGCCCCUCGCGAGGGUCUUGAGCUUGGGCUAAUGAAGUUGGGCUGCACUGGGCCUCCGAUUGAGCCACGCCGCAGGCCGCAGGCAGGCAAAUCUGGGGACUCCCGUUCCCAGAAUGCCGACAGUAGCCCCCAGGCCCAAGGCGUGCCGGGACUUGUCUUAGCAGAGAAGGGAAGGGUCAAGUGCGAAGCGCCGCGGGCCCCAAUAGCCUAUGGCCUUGGGCGCCGCGUGGCGAUUGAUUGGACGUGGGCGGCUCUGCUUCCCCAUGAUGCCUCAUGACGCGCCCGGCUAGACGGACCCGUGGUUGCACACAAUUGUUCCCCUUUCGCCGCUCGCACGCUCCCUGCCCUUCCUUCUUCCUCGGGAUCCAACCUCCGCCUCCAAUCUAGCUCGAACUCUACCCCCUUUCCAUCGCCAUGGCGCCAACAAAGAAGGAAAGGGGGAAGAAGCCCGCGCCUUCGCCCCGCUCGUCUCUGGUGGCGGCCCCCGCCAUUGAUCGGUCAAUCAUACUCAACCCCGAAGCCUUGAACAAGGUCCGCUCUGCUCUUGCCUCCAUCUUCAACGAGUGCGGCAGGACCAUGGUAUGGCCUGCGUCCCAUGCCUCCUUUGAUAGGGCGUCACGGAGGUCCGGUUCUUCGCCGAUGCCCUGUGGGCGGGCCUGGUUCCUCCCUUUUCCGCUUUCUUCAAUGCGGUGCUCUCCCAUUAUCAGAUCCACAUGAUGCACUUGGGGCCUGAGUCCAUUACCCUCCUGGUUGUUUUCGCCUUUGUUUGCGAGGCUAUGGUGGGCAUUCCUCCUUCCGUCGCCCUCCUGCGCCACUUCUUCUCUUUACGCCUGAGCGACCCUACUCAAUGCUCUGGGUGUGUGAGCUUCCUUGCCAUGCCAGAGACGGCUGCUUCGGGGAUCGAUUUCGGCGUUCCUCCUCCUUAGGCCAGGUUUAGAGAGCGGCGGCUGUAUGUGGAUGUCGGAGUGCCCAGCCCCCUGCUCUCGCUCCCAUCCUUGCCUAUUGUUCCCAACUCAGGCUGGGAUCAUGAGACGCUUGCGAGCCCCUGGCUCACCAUCGUCUGGCGUCGCUUCCCGAGUUUGAGGGCGCUCGACGUGCCGACGCCCAAGGUGGUGAAGGAGUUCCUCCAACGUCGCAUUGCUCCUCUCCAGUGCCACUCCCGUUGUAUAUGGGCCUUUGCGGGGCACAAAGACCGCAUGCGGCUCCAGGAGGAGGAUCUGGCGCCUGAAGUGCUGAGGACGGUGCUCAGGGUCCUGGCCGGCGAUCCUUCGCCAGGCAGCCUUCGACACGAUGCUGCCCUCUUGUAUCUUUGCUCGGGCAGGGCCGAUUUUGUGAGGCAAAUGCCCAGCUUUGACGAGUGGGGGCUGCGUCCGGUUGGCCUCACGGGGCCCCGCGAGAACCCAGUUGUUGCGGUUGCUCUUCCGAUCGCCCACGACGGUUCUGCCUCAGGCGAUGGAGUGGGGAGACGAGAACUGCCGGGAGCUGAAGGGGCCAAUGUCGAGAUGCUGACGCCGCGCGGAGCCCCGAAGGAGACAUCUCCCGAAGCCCGUCCUGUAGCAGUGGCAGGAAAGGAGUUGCGGCCUACGGCUCCCGAGGCUGGGGCUUCAGAGGCCCCGGCCGUUCCUCAUGAGGCGGCUCUUGGCGUCGUCCCCUAGGCCGGUCCCCUUGGCGCUGAUCACCUUGACGCCUCCUCCAUGCCGCAGGCCGACCCUUGCGCCAAGCGCUUAGGCCGGUUCCGCAUAGACUUCGAGGCCCUCCGCAAGAGGGAGGAGGCCUUGGGUGGUGAUGAUUGCCCUUGCCACCUGUUGAAGCGCAGAAAGUACUUUGCCGUGGACGAGUAAGUCCUCCUCUCUCUCUGCUCCUUUACCUCACUGUUCUUGCAGCUGAUCGCGGCCUUUCAGGGCCCUUCCUGCCGAAUUCGUGGAGACAGCCAAGGAGCCAUCCCCCCAAGCUUUGUCUUCACCGCCGACCCCUGGGCGCGCCGAGCUCGAGCAGUGCCCCCGCCACCGGGCCGGUCGGAGAAGUGGUCCGUCCCACUGGGCACCUCGAGCCUACGCGCCUGCUGUCCUUCCUUCACGAGCUCUCCUGGGGCACAGCUAGCUUGCCCCAUGCUCCUUCCCUGAUCGUGGAUGGUGCCUGGCUGAAGUCAGUCUUGAGUUCCUCCUCUGGGGACGGACCGGUGCCAGGCCGGAUUCCCGGCGAGGUCCGUCCGGCGAUUGCUGGGGCGCCAGCCCCCAGUCCCGCGCUAGGAGGGGGCGUGCCGCCUCAGGGCCCUCCGCAUGCACCAGUGGCAGAGGGGGAUGCGGAAGACGUGCUCAGGCGCGCUUGGGACCGUCGCGCCCUUCGUCAAGAGUUCUUCCAGGGGUGGCGGAUGCGGUGAGCCGGAUCGGUGUGGAGCUUGCUGGCGAGGUUGCGCUCCUUGAGGCCGAAGGCCUGCGCCUCGCUGAGGAGAGGCGCAAGCUGAAGGUAGUCUCCGCCCUUGCACGUCACCAGCGAGACCUUGAUAACGCGAAGGCUGAAGCAUCGCUGGCGGCCUCGCGAGAGGCCUGCUCCCAAGCCGUCGAGGAGGCCCGGGAAGCAGACCAACAACGCAAGCAUGCGGAGGAGCGCGCGUGGGAGCUCCAAGCCUGGAGUAGCUCUCUGGAGCGGCAUGUGGAACUGCGCCAGGCGGCCCUUGUGUCGCUGAAAGGGGCUUCCGUCGACCAGGCGGAGCUCCUGAAGCGCGAGGAGGCGCUGAUGCUGGAGGCCGCCGAGCGCAACCUUGACCUUGAACGGUUGGAGAUGAGGGAGCGCCUGGUGACUCAGGCGGAGGAUGAAGUCACCGCGCGGGAAGCCCGAGUCCAAGAAGAGGUCGACCGCCGCGUGGCGGGAGCUCGCUUGGAUCUUGAGCGUGAAUACGAGGGGAGGUUGGAGCUGAUCAGGGCCGAAGCUGAGGGUAGGACUGUGGCCCUCAGGGCCAAGCUGGCUGAAGUGACGCGGAGUGCGGACUCCUCCGCAGCCUCCCUCGGCGCAGCACAGGCGGAGCUGGCCUCCUCCCGUGCCAAGCUACUUCUUCUCCAAUAGAGGGUUGAUGACGCCGAGGCCAUCGCGUGGCAGAAUGAGGACGAGAUCCGUCAGCGGUAGACUCUGGAGCAUGAGCAUGCCCCCAUGCUCCAUACGCUCAAGGAAAGGGCCAAUGCGGCCCUGGGCAACAUUUGUGAGGUGGCUGUUGCUGAGCCUCGCGUGACCAACUACGCUGGCAACCUCUAGUUCUUCACGGAUGUGGUGACACAGCUGGAGACCCGCUCUGACAGGGCUCGUUGGCUUGUCGAGGAGAGGAGUCGAGCCUUGCUUGGGCGCGCCUUCUCCCGUGUCUUCAGCUAUCUGCAGGACAGAGAACCCCACUUCGAUUUCGAUGCCGCCAUCGCAUCGGUGCCCGUAGCCAUUCGGGGUGACCAGGCGCAAUGGGUGGAAGAUAACGUGGAUGCCCUCAUCAGGGCCUUCGCAUCUAAUGAUGACGGCGUGAUCAUGGCCGCAGAUGAAGGUGGCGUUGUGUCAGGACCCCGAUCCUAAGUCACACCGAUCUAGCAUGUAACACAUCAUAUCACUUUGCGGCCUCACGCACGGUAUUCCCACGGGUGCCACCUUUCCUGGCCCGGGACCGUCUGCGCCUUUUAGCUCACGUAUAUGAUAGUGUCGCUAGCAUCCAUAUGACAAAGAACCCGGGCUGACAUGGCUAGUCGUAAACCCAAAGUGGCACAGACUUACAGGGACAGGCAUCCAUGACCCAGCAUCGAACGUGUCGGUCAUCAGAGAGUGAAUCCAGGCUGUAGCACUGGGCUAGCAGGACUCCGGUGAACCGGGCUGUAGCGGCUAACAGGACUCUGGUAUUCCUCGCGUGACAUUUCCCCGAAGGGAAAGACACAGGAACGAAGAAGGACACAUGCCGGCCAGCCUAAGUGUUCCGGAGCAGUAGCAAGCUACCAUGGCUCGGUGGAAACACUAGGAGACAUUUCCCGGUAAGAGAGGCUACUAAAGAUAAACAACUAGAUGGUCAGAUCCCACACAUACCAAGCAUUUCAAUAACAUACACACAAUAUGCUCGAUAUGUGCAAAUACAACAUGGCAUCACAACAUGACUCUACGACUCAAGUAAUUUAUUCAUUAGGCUCCGAGGAGCGAGAUAUUACAAACAGGGGUCUCACGACCCAACAUUCAGAGCAUACAAAUCAAAGCACAAGCGGAAGCUAUCAUGUCUAAGUACAGACAACUAUAAAUGAAAAAGGCUGAGAAGCCUGACUAUCUACCAGAUACUGCCGAGGCACAAGAUCGUAGCUGAGGUAACAAGCUAAACGUCGAAGACCACGCGGAAUUACUAGUGAGACUGAAGUCUCUCUACGAAAAUAUAAAAUAGGCAAACGUGAGUACAAAUGUACCCAGCAAGACUUACAUCAGAACUAACUACAUAUGCUUCAUUAUCAACAAAGGGGAUGGUGGGGUUUAACUGCAGCAAGCCAACUUUGACUCGGUGGCUAUCCUGAACUACGACUGCAAGUAACUCUUUUGAGGUGGCGCACACGAGUCCACAUAUUCACCAUAUCAAUACACCACUACGGAUCCGCUCCCGUCUCCCUAAGAGAACGCCAUCCAUAGCACUCACGCUUAUCUUGCAUAUUUUAGAGUAUCCACUUUCACUUGUCUAUGAACUGAUAUAAGCAACCCAGAAGUCCUUUACCGCGGACACGGCUAUUCGAAUAGAUGAUGUUAACCUUGUAGGGGUUUACUUCUUCAUACAUGUUUCCACCACUUAGCGUCUGCACACGACAUGUGCUCGGCAGACUUCAAGCGAAGGCCGACGUGGGUGUAGACCACGACCUACCUAAACACUCAAGUCUCUAGUCCAGGUUUAUCGCCUAUUCGGGUUCCAUCCAUGAGGAGAUCCGGCCGGAGUUUCGCUCACAGCGCCAAACGAUGUGAACAGGGUUCCCGGGAUACCAAACGGGCAUCCGGUACACCGUGCCACGUACCUACCGCAUCACAGCCCACCCCUACGGUCAGCGCUGUCCACGGCCUCCAGUAAGCUACAAACACCAGAAACUACUUGCAACUCCUGGACAGAGGACUAGGGUGAAUAAGAAGUCGAGCGGGGUCAUAUUUCAGGGCCCAAUGCAUGGUAGUAGCUGAAUCAUGGAUCACAAACACAGAACUCAGUUCCUAAGGACGGCUUCAAUGAGACAACCCACCAUGUACUCCUACAUGGCCUCUCACCGACACCUUUUACCAAAUCGUGUUCACACACUUAGCUCACACAUAGUAGGACAUGUUCACACACCUCUGAUUCAUCCCCGAUGAAUCAGACCUGACUCAACUCUAAGCAGUAGCAGGCAUGACAAACAAGCAUGAAUGAGUAGGCACAACAGGGCUCAAACAACUCCUACUCAUGCUAGUGGGGUUCAUCUAUUUACUGUGGCAAUGACAGGUCAUGCAGAGGAUAAAGGGGUUCAGCUACCGCAGCAAGUAGCAGAUGAAUCGGUGUUGUCCUAAUGCAUUAAAAGAGAGCAGGAGCGAGAGAGUAGGAUUGUCUCGGAAUGAACAAGGGGGUUUUGCUUGCCUGGCACUUCUGAAGAUAACAUUGAGUCUUCAUCAGUGUCAACGAGCACAUCGUCGGUACAACGUCUACCGGGAGGGAACAGAUACCGGCAACAAAGAAGAAAUACAAUCAAUGCAAUGCACAAUAUGAUGCAUGCUCAUGACAUGGCAAUAUGAAUGUGUUUUGAGCUAAUGCAACUAGCAACAGAUUAAAUGAGGUUGGUUUGAAUACAAGAUUCAAAUUCAACUCCAUAUGUGAUUAUUCAAAUGCCAAUUAAUUGAUUUGUGCUAUAAAACAGCUAUAAGUUGUUCUAACAUGCAUGAAAAUGGUACAGAUGGAUUCCUUGAAUUUUUCUGAUAACUUUUCAUAAAUAAUUUAUUUAAUUUGGAGUUACGGUUGAAUUUCUAUGAAUUUUAGAAGUUUAUACCAUUUUCUGGAUUUUCUGAUUUAUUUUAAAUCCAGAAAAUCAUUUAAUGCGUCAGCAUGACAUCACCUUGACGUCAUCAGGUCAACAGGGCAGGUUCAGGUUAAACCUGACCAGUGGGGUCCACUGGUCAGUGACUGGGGCUGAUUAGUGUCGCUGACAUGUGGGCCCAGUCAACAGCCACGUCAGCUUAGUCAAAGCUAACGCGUGGGCCCACUGAUAUUAGUUAAAACUAAACAGAAACUAAUCUACGAUUAAUUAGACGGCGGGGCCCAGCUGUCAGUGUCACAGGGGUUAAUUAGCAGGGUCAUUAGCCCCUAACGACGGCGCCACAUCAGCACGUCGGAGACCAGCCGACGGCGACCACAGAACACGGCGGGGGCACGCCGGACUUGCGCUAGGGCAUCGGAUUGGCGCGCCGAGGGCACCAGGGCAUAGCCCUCGCUCUUGCGCAUCCAGAGAGCCAAAUGGGAGGGGUUGGGGUGGUUCGAGCUCGCCGGAGUCGAGCUCGUGGCGGCGGCCGGCGUUCGGGAGCAGCCGAGUAUGGUGCUAGAGGGCAUGGGAGGCGGAGCUACUGGUAGCUGCAGGUUCGUGGAGGCGCGCUAAGCACACUGGUGUACUCUGGUGGGAGCUCCAGUGGCUGCAGUGACGGCGGCGACGAGGUCAGCGGCGGCCGGAGUUCGGCCGCGACGGAGCUAUGGCCUAGAGCUCGCAAACGCGAGGGGAAAGAGAGGGGUUCUGCACGGAGGCUCACAGCGAGGUCGAUGAGCAGCUCGGUGGUCUCGGGGAGGCGGCGGAGACGGUGAAUCGACAGACGGCGUCCGGCAGCCAUGCGUGGAGAAGACGGGUCACUGGCGAGGCAGUAGGGCAUCCGGCGACGCGUGUCUCAACGGAGAGGUAGCAGGGAACUAGGUGGAGCCGAUGGACUCUCUAGUAGGGCGAAACGACGGUGGUGGCUGCGGUGGUAGUGGACGGCGGCGGCGGCAGCGGUCGGGCGAGAGAGGGAGAGAUCCAGGGAAGGGGGCGAGAGCGCGGAACAGUGAGAGGGGGGUCGGGGUGGCGCGUUGCGUCACCAGGGCGUCGAGGAGGAGCCAGGCAGGCUGGGAGGGAGGAGGUGGCCGGGGCGCGUGGCCGCGCACGCCACCGAGCAGCUUCGGGGCGAGGGGGAGGAAGACGAUAGGGGGAGAAGCGGCGGUGGGCUGGGCCGGCUGGAGGAGCUAGGCCAGGUGGGCUGAGGUGAGCGCCAGGUAGUCCUCUGCUCUUUCUAUUUCUGUUUUUAUUUAUCUAUUUUGUUCUGUGUUGUUUUAGUUUAGUAAAAUACUAAACCGUUUUAGAAAAUCCUAAAAAUAGUUAUGUGGCUAGAACUAAAAUAUACCAAACUACAUAAAAUGUUCCAGUAAUUAUUGGACAUAUAUUAUUUAUAUAUCAAAUAUAUAUCCAAUGCAAUUAGCUAUUUAUUUAAUUCAAAGGCCCAAAAUAAUUAACUCUGAGAUACCAAAAAUAUUGUUUUGAGUUUUACCUCUUUGCAAUAUUUUCAGAGACUAAGAGGAACAUUUUCUUGGACUUCUUUGAGAAGAUUUUAAUGUUGAUCAUUUUUAGAAGGUUUCUGAGGCUUUGAAAAUCCCUCAAUUCAAAUUUCAUUUGAAUUAAAACAUGAUGCUCACAUGAGGCCUAGCCUAGUGAAUAACAGGACCAGGGAUGUGACAACUCACCCCCAUUAAACAAAAAUCUCGUCCCGAGAUUCAAGCAUAGGGUAAGAUGAAGGGGGAAUGCAACUAGUAUAAUCUUCACGAUCCAGGGUGCACUUCAUCAGCAUGUUGAAUCGAUCACCAUCUUGGUCUUGUCGUCUUGUUCUGAGAACUCCAGUUAUUAUGACAAUGAGAGGAGAAGGAGACUCUAGAAGAAUCGAUCUUCACGAAGGUCGAACAACUCAGGAUUAACUCACGGAAUGGGACAUAGCAACAUUUCUCGAGCUGAGGGACGAAGCACACCUCUAGAGGGAUGGAGUGGAGCAGAUGACGAGGUUUACUAGGUAGACUACAAUUCCACACUUAAAAAGGUGGUAAACGAUUGUCAUCAUAGCGAGGAGUUGAGUUGCCAUGAUACCACAACGAGGCACCUUAGGGAUGGUGACUCGUAGAUAUAUCCCCUUAAGUGGCAAAAAGAAUUACCUUUGAUUCAGAAAUCAUUGAAACUCUUUAAACCAGCCUAAGGCAAUUUUCGAGCGAUCGUUUGGAGGGGGUCGGUGGAAUGGCAUACUCGGACUUGGAUGAUGUGGAUUACCUUGUUGAAGACAACGUAAUGGAUGAUUUUUGCUUAUCACCGGAAAUGGAAGAGACCCAUGGUAGAACCACUUUUGAAAAUGAUCCUGAUCAGUAAUUACUGAGAAGGGUAAUCCAGAGUAGGGUGGCACAAUGGCGGUGCAAGCCGGGAGCGAAAUGCAAAUGAUGGGAAUGAUUCUGAUAACUGGGGAAGAACCCAACAAUAGAGAGUGAAUUCACUGUUUGAGAAGGUCAUAGCAUUGCCGAGGGAACUGAGAGCAUCCCAAUUAGUGUCGAUGAUAACACCUAGCGCUUGUGCGUGCUCUCAAGAACUUGAGCAUUUCCAUAUUCAUCAGGUUUCACCAACAUCCGUGUCAAGGAUCCUGGCAACACAACGUACUACCAUGAUGAAUGGUGAUGGAGGAUGCAGAUGCAAAGGAAGAUAACACCUUCUCAGAUUUCACCCUUGGCGGGGCCAAGGAAAUAAAAUCUGGAUGAUCGAUCGAGAGACAUUUAGCACUCCGCUUCUAAUGUUCUCCUUGAUGUGCUAGUGUAACCCAUUCAUAGAUAUGGUUUGAUAUCUAGAACAUCAAGUAAAAAGGUCGGACUUCGGAGCACAGAAAUCCAUAGGGGCAACUAGGGAGUAAAUCCUACGAAAUCCCUAUGGGGAGGUGGCCAACUUCUCCAAUCAAGAUACUACAAUAAUAGGUCUCCUGGCGGGGUGUGUUGGCCAUGACAUCCACUUUACCGGUUAUCGAGGGAUCAGUAUUAUAGUUCUUGGGAAAUGUUCCAACCAUCAUAUCUGCCUGAGAUUCAGAUCUGGUUGGUGUCAGGAUAUUCCAGACUCAUCGAGUCUAGGAAGAGAAAUGAAAGUUUGCAACACAAAUCAAAGAGAUGACGUUGCGAGAUUCUCGGGGAAUGAACUACGAUAGUAAGCUCCAAAACAUGAGCUGGUUCUGCUACAAACAUGUGAACACGUUGUCCCAGACAAGCAUGGCCACGUAGUAGUCUUAUAACUAAACACUACCGAGUUCAGGUGGGGAACCAUAAUCAAGGAUAUCGAAGUCUUUACGCAAGUCCAUGGAUUAGAUCCCAAGCAUAGACUUCUUUUCCUUGAACAAGUCAAUCAGUGGCUUAGUGUGCUAGGGACACAUAUAGAAUGAAGGUUGCAAGUCUCCAGACUACAAAAUACUUCGCAUGUGUGCAUGACUGAUUUGGGAUGAUUCCAAAGGAAACAAGACAAUCUUCCUCGAAUCCACGGCGGCAACUUGCAUCAAAUGCACAUGAACUAGAGGAAGUCGCUUCUUACAUCCGAACAUAUGCUUCAUGAGCUAGCAUGAACAAAUGCUUUCAAAAGUUUUCCAACACUAGCUUAAUGUUCAGCAAAAUUAUGGAGAAGACAAGGAUGUUGUCAAUGGGCUCAACAACAAUUCAUCGGGGUUUCCUUUCAAAAGGAAUUCCAUAGUUAAGUGAACACGGUGAUAGCAUUGGUUAGACCAAAGAAUAUAAUAGUGUAUGCUCGAGGAAAACCCACGAGUAAGACAACAUUACGAAUAUCGUUGGUUCUGAUUUGAUUUGACGAUAGCCCAUACUCAAUCAAAGGUUUGGGUAAGAUAAUAAGUCCAUCAACUGAUCACAGGGACCAAUCGAUGAAGAUAUCAUCUUUCUUCAACACACACUACACAAGAAUAUCCCUUUGGAACGAACUAGGUCAGGCAAGCUUUUAUCUUCCAACUCUCCAAGUUGUUGUCUAGCUUAACCGACUAGCUCAGGAAUAUCUAACACCGAUUCUUGGAGAGAAAGUGGUUCACAAGAAACCAACUUGAUCACGAGAUCAACAUAGCGGUCAGGCGACAACCUGGUGAUACUUCCGAGAAGAAUUUCGGAAUAUCAUGAACCACCGGUAUGUUACUAAGAUCGAGAACAAUCUCGCUUUUGAGGGCAAGACGAUAUGAUCAAUAGAGCGAGGGAUUGGCACAAUCCUAACUCAUUGAUCGAAGGGUGCACCGGAAAUAAGGACUAGAUAGCACGAUCAGUCUUAGAAUGAUGAUUCAAGAACCAACACGCUAACAAUGAGAUUAUCGUCCAUUUAACUACCAAGCAAUGGAGUUGCUAGCAGUAUUGAUUUCACACGCCAUGAUUCAUUUGUCGGCAUUCCGGUUACAAUAACACGGAAACCGAGAAAUUAUCAAUGAUGAUCAGAAGUAUUACUGCGUCAAGAAUUCAUAAGAUGGUGUGCAAUUCCCAUGAUAUUCCUGAUAUAAAGAUGGUAAUACUUCAAGGUAGAACAGACCAGAAGCUGGAUUGGCAUUUUGAUCUGCGGAAUACAAUUGCUUUGACCCAAUCCUAGAUAUGGAUGAGAUUCUGGAGUUUGUUUCUCCUAUUCAUUCUGAAAUAGAAUGGCUUGGCGGACCACAAGGGUAAUAGGCAUCAACGAAUGAAUGCACGCAUACUCUUGACUAUCAAUUGAUAGGCGAGGGUCGGAAACAACUAAGAUGGGACAACUCAAAAGAACAUAUGAUUUUCUGAGUUGUGGAUGCAUGGAUUAGCAUGUCGAACGACGUUCAACAUAUUUCUUCCGGAUAACCCAUGCAGAAAGGUAGAACUAGCAGAGCCACAAUAUAUAAUGGAGAACUCAUCAAGAAUAAUCCUGUUGUGAUAUUUUAGUUCAACGAGGAACUUCUGCCAUAAGUAGUUCAUGGUAUUUGGAAGAAGAAGAUACCGCGGACUUCAAGGACUAUCGCAAAGGUUACUAAUAUCCUAAAGGCACUAGCAAUUACUAUCAACAUGAAGUAGGUAGAGUGAAUCUCGGGUUCAGAACCCAGGAGUAGAAUGCCUACUACUAAGUAGCACCACGGGAUGCUUUCGAGAAUGAUGGCCAGAAUCUUCACACUGGGAACACAAAACAUUGCUAGAUUACUAGGUGACUCCCUAAAACACCUAGGGUCAUAAUAAUAGCUCCAACAUAUAUUUUCAAGGCAAUAAUUUACCUCAACUCACCGAUUAGUGUGGUUAAUCUGGCCCAAAGGAACAUCGGAACGGGAGGAAGGGAUUUUGCAAAUGCUUCAGACUGUUUAGAAACCUGGGAAGACUCGGACAGCAUAACGGCUAUAAAUGCUCAAAAGUUUUGAGACAUGCUACAAAAAUGGUGGCAUAGCCACUCAGAAGCACAAUACCAAGGUUUCGAGAUCAAUAGUUAACAUACGGAAGUAAUAGGAAUUGAAACGAGGCUUAAGUCCAACAAUCUUACAAGUCUACAGAUUAGUAACACGUGAUCCUGAUAGAAAGAGGAGAUAGCCUAGUUCCUUAACCCCGUAGGAAAGAUAAGAUGACUCAGAUCAGAAGGGCAUAAGGUAUAAGGAGUAAAAAGAGCCUUACGUUCCAUCCCACAAUCAAUUCCCUUAUAUAACUAAAGAAUUUCUAGACUCAACUUCGACCAGUUUGGCUUGGUAAUCCUACAGGCAGUCAAGCUCUGAUACCAACGCUGUCAGGACCCCGAUCCUAAGUCACACCGAUCUAGCAUGUAACACAUCAUAUCACUUUGCGGCCUCACGCACGGUAUUCCCACGGGUGCCACCUUACCUGGCCCGGGACCGUCUGUGCCUUUUGGCUCACGUAUAUGAUAGUGUCGCUAGCAUCCAUAUGACAAAGAACCCGGGCUGACAUGGCUAGUCGUAAACCCAAAGUGGCACAGACUUACAGGGACAGGCAUCCAUGACCCAUCAUCGAACGUGUCGGUCAUCAGCGAGUGAAUCCAGGCUGUAGCACUGGGCUAGCAGGACUCCGAUGAACCGGGCUGUAGCGGCUAACAGGACUCUGGUAUUCAUCGCGUGACAUUUCCCCGAAGGGACAGACAUAGGAACGAAGAAGGACACAUGCCGGCUAGCCUAAGUGUUCCGGAGCAGUAGCAAGCUACCAUGGCUCGGUGGAAACACUAGGAGACAUUUCCCGGUAAGAGAGGCUACUAAAGAUAAACAACUAGAUGGUCAGAUCCCACACAUACCAAGCAUUUCAAUAACAUACACACAAUAUGCUCGAUAUGUGCAAAUACAACAUGGCAUCACAACAUGACUCUACGACUCAAGUAAUUUAUUCAUUAGGCUCCGAGGAGCGAGAUAUUACAAACAGGGGUCUCACGACCCAACAUUCAGAGCAUACAAAUCAAAGCACAAGCGGAAGCUAUCAUGUCUGAGUACAGACAACUAUAAAUGAAAAAGGCUGAGAAGCCUGACUAUCUACCAGAUACUGCCGAGGCACAAGAUCGUAGCUGAGGUAACAAGCUAAACGUCGAAGACCACGCGGAAUUACUAGUGAGACUGAAGUCUCUCUGCAAAAACAUAAAAUAGGCAAACGUGAGUACAAAUGUACCCAGCAAGACUUACAUCAGAACUAACUACAUAUGCUUCAUUAUCAACAAAGGGGAUGGUGGGGUUUAACUGCAGCAAGCCAGCUUUGACUCGGUGGCUAUCCUGAACUACGACUGCAAGUAACUCUUUUGAGGUGGCGCACACGAGUCCACAUAUUCACCAUAUCAAUACACCACUAUGGAUCCGCUCCCGUCUCCCUACGAGAACGCCAUCCAUAGCACUCACGCUUAUCUUGCGUAUUUUAGAGUAUCCACUUUCACUUGUCUAUGAACUGAUAUAAGCAACCGAGAAGUCCUUUACCGCGGACACGGCUAUUCGAAUAGAUGAUGUUAACCCUGCAGGGGUGUACUUCUUCAUACAUGUUUCCACCACUUAGCGUCUGCAAACGACAUGUGCACGACAGACUUCAAGCGAAAGCCGACGUGGGUGUAGGCCACGACCUACCUAAACACUCAAGUCUCUAGUCCAGGUUUAUCGCCUAUUCGGGUUCCAUCCAUGAGGAGAUCCGGCCGGAGUUUCGCUCACAUCCCCAAACGAUGUGAACAGGGUUCCCGGGAUACCAAACGGGCAUCCGGUACACCGUGCCACGUACCUACCGCAUCACAGCCCACCCCUACGGUCAGCGCUGUCCACGGCCUCCAGUAAGCUACAAACACCAGAAACUACUUGCAACUCCUGGACAGAGGACUAGGGUGAAUAAGAAGUCGAGCGGGGUCAUAUUUCAGGGCCCAAUGCAUGGUAGUAGCUGAAUCAUGGAUCACAAACACAGAACUCAGUUCCUAAGGACGGCUUCAAUGAGACAACCCACCAUGUACUCCUACAUGGCCUCUCACCGACACCUUUUACCAAAUCGUGUUCACACACUUAGCUCACACAUAGUAGGACAUGUUCACACACCUCUGAUUCAUCCCCGAUGAAUCAGACCUGACUCAACUCUAAGCAGUAGCAGGCAUGACAAACAAGCAUGAAUGAGUAGGCACAAUAGGGCUCAAACAACUCCUACUCAUGCUAGUGGGUUUCAUCUAUUUACUGUGGCAAUGACAGGUCAUGCAGAGGAUAAAGGGGUUCAGCUACCGCAGCAAGUAGCAGAUGAAUCGGUGUUGUCCUAAUGCAUUAAAAGAGAGCAGGAGCGAGAGAGUAGGAUUGUAUCGGAAUGAACAAGGGGGUUUUGCUUGCCUGGCACUUCUGAAGAUAACAUUGAGUCUUCAUCAGUGUCAACGAGCACAUCGUCGGUACAACGUCUACCGGGAGGGAACAGAUACCGGCAACAAAGAAGAAAUACAAUCAAUGCAAUGCACAAUAUGAUGCAUGCUCAUGACAUGUCAAUAUGAAUGUGUUUUGAGCUAAUGCAACUAGCAACAUAUUAAAUGAGGUUGGUUUGAAUACAAGAUUCAAAUUUAACUCCAUAUGUGAUUAUUCAAAUGCCAAUUAAUUGAUUUGUGCUACACAGCAGCUAUAAGUUGUUCUAACAUGCAUGAAAAUGGUACAGAUGGAUUCCUUUAAUUUUUCUGAUAAUUUUUCAUAUAUAAUUUAUUUAAUUUGGAGUUACGGUUGAAUUUCUAUGAAUUUUAGAAGUUUAUACCAUUUUCUGGAUUUUCUGAUUUAUUUUAAAUCCAGAAAAUCAUUUAAUGCGUCAGCAUGACAUCACCUUGACGUCAUCAGGUCAACAGGGCAGGUUCAGGUCAAACCUGACCAGUGGGGUCCACUGGUCAGUGACUGGGGCUGAUUAGUGUCGCUGACAUGUGGGCCCAGUCAACAGCCACGUCAACUUGGUCAAAGCUGACGCGUGGGCCCACUGAUAUUAGUUAAAACUAAACAGAAGCUAAUCUACGAUUAAUUAGACGGCGGGGCCCAGCUGUGAGUGUCACAGGGGUUAAUUAACAGGGUCAUUAGCCCCUAACGACGGCGCCACGUCAGCACGUCGGAGACCAGCCGACAGCGACCGCAGAACACGGCGGGGGCACGCCGGACUUGCGCUAGGGCGUCAGAUUGGCGCGCUGAGGGCACCAGGGCAUAGCCCUCGCUCUUGCGCAUCCAGAGAGCCAAAUGGGAGGGGUUGGGGUGGUUCGAGCUCGCCGGAGUCGAGCUCGUGGCGGCGGCCGGCGUUCGGGAGCAGCCGAGUAUGGUGCUAGAGGGCACGAGAGGCGGAGCUAAUGGUAGCUGCAGGUUCGUGGAGGCGCGCUGAGCACACUGGUGUACUCGGGUGGGAGCUCCAGUGGCUGCAGUGACGGCGGCGACGAGGUCAGCGGCGGCCGGAGUUCGGCCGCGACGGAGCUAUGGCCUAGAGCUCGCAAACGCGAGGGGAAAGAGAGGGGUUCUGCACGGAGGCUCACAGCGAGGUCGAUGAGCAGCUCGGUGGUCUCGGGGAGGCGGCGGAGACGGCGAAUCGACAGACGGUGUCCGGCGGCCGUGCGUGGAGAAGACGGGUCGCUGGCGAGGCAGCAGGGCAUCCGGCGACGCGUGUCUCAAUGGAGAGGUAGCAGGGAACUAGGCAGAGCCGAUGGACUCUCUAGUAGGGCGAAACGACGGCGGUGGCUGCGGUGGUAGUGGACGGCGGCGGCGGCAGUGGUCGGGCGAGAGAGGGAGAGAUCCAGGGAAGGGGGCGAGAGCGCGGGAGAGUGAGAGGGGGGUCGGGGUGGCGCGUGGCGUCACCGGGGCGUCGAGGAGGAGCCAGGCAGGCUGGGAGGGAGGAGGUGGCCGGGGCGCGUGGCCGCGCGCGCCACCGAGCAGCUUCGGGGCGAGGGGGAGGAAGACGACAGGGGGAGAAGCGGCGGUGGGCUGGGCCGGUUGGAGGAGCUGGGCCAGGUGGGCUGAGGUGAGCGCCAGGUAGUCCUCUACUCUUUCUAUUUCUGUUUUUAUUUAUCUAUUUUGUUCUGUGUUGUUUUAGUUUAGUAAAAUACUAAACCAUUUUAUAAAAUCCUGAAAAUAAUUAUGUGGCUAGAACUAAAAUAUACCAAACCACAUAAAAUGUUCCAGUAAUUAUUGGACAUAUAUUAUUUAUAUAUCAAAUAUAUAUCCAAUGCAAUUAGCUAUUUAUUUAAUUCAAAGGCCCAAAAUAAUUAACUCUGAGAUACCAAAAAUAUUGUUUUGAGUUUUACCUCUUUGCAAUAUUUUCAGAGACUAAGAGGAACAUUUUCUUGGACUUCUUUGAGAAGAUUUUAAUGUUGAUCAUUUUUAGAAGGUUUCUGAGGCUUUGAAAAUCCCUCAAUUCAAAUUUCAUUUGAAUUAAAACAUGAUGCUCACAUGAGGCCUAGCCUAGUGCAUAACAGGACCAGGGAUGUGACAUGUUGUGGACGAGCCUGGCGUUGAUGGAGGUGAUGGCGGUGGCAGUGACGAUUUUAGUGAUGCCAGCGACGCCUCCGGAGGUGCCCCAGAAGACGUGGUGAGCGACAUGUCCGACUGAUCGUGUGUCGCCGCUGUUCACCCUAUAUAAAAAAGGUUCAGGCUCGGCCCUGAAGAUUGUAAGAGCAUUUUGGGAGGGGGGACCCUUCAUACAAAGGUUUGCGAUCAGUAUCCUUGCAAAAAGAACGCCGCCUAUGAGCUUAUGCUGGGCCACCAGCCUGGCGGUGGGUCAGCUAACUUGUUUACCUUUUGACCCUGACGGGCCCCGAGCGAGCCUGUGGGAGUCGGAGCGCCUGGGUGAACCCAUUGAUCCUGCGAUGAGAACCUCAUGAGAGGGUGCGACGACAGCGGUCCGGAUUGUAGACGUGCUUGGCCCGGCCCGGCUCGCGAGGGGCUCGUGAGGGGAGGCAGCUGACGCUAACUUUGGACGCAAAGCCGAAACCAGAACACGAGAGAUUGCUCGAACGAUACUAAACAACCCUUCCCCAAACACACGCAAGUCUCAAGCUCAAAUCCAACUUAAAUUCGAAUCGAAGAACAUCGACAACAGAGGAAAAGGCAAAAGGCAAAAAGCCGCGUCCGACACCUAGUUUAGUCUUCGACGUCUUCUCACCAGCGCGGAGCUAAGUGCUGCCACUGGGCGUGGGCGGGAGCCCCCGAGGCCCGAGGGCGGAUCUCCGGAGACUCCGGGGCGUGUACAGCCCAACUCAUUAUUACGUGAGAGUGUCAUGGGUGGCGAGCUUCACAGGCACUGGGCCUUCUUCAUAGUUACCGACCUUGCUUCAUAUCGCCAGACGAGGGCCCCGCCUUGCGCCACACUCUAACGCCAUUGACGGCGACCGGAGACCAAGGACGAGGCCAAUGGUGUAGAGCGGUCGCCAGCGGUUCCCCCGACGACCACGGGUCCUCUUCCGGGGGCAGGCCCUAAGGCACCUCCCCGGCAGAGGGCCUACCUCCUGAGCACACCUUGCUCCGAGCGCCGCGGAGGCGAACCCAGUUCUCGGCCCUCUCCUGCAGCCCCCGGUGCCCUCCUCCUAAGGGGUAGGAGGCUGCAGCAUUGGGGCAGCCAUCUGCUGCGGCGACCUGUACCUCCUGCGACCCAUGGUUAGCAUAAGCUUGCUCUUAAGGAAUUAGUGGUACCCGAUAGUUGCUGCCACUAGCGCGGUUGUCGAGGCUCUCUUGGGGUUCCUGAAAGAGCUCAGCUUCUGGUGUCUCCUCGUCCCAUCCUGGCCCGAGGAACGAGCCAUGGUCUUCUUCUAGUGCACACUCUUGAUCCACCAUGUGGGGAACAUAAGCUUCUGGGGCCACCGCCCUGUGGGCCUCGCCGUAGUGCCCCAUACGCCACACAGUUCGGCUUGGAGCACUGUCUUGGGGGUGGCGACGUGGUGGCCCACCAAGGCCAAAGGCCGUGGCGUGCACUCCUUUGCUAGUCGGAGAUGGGGCCGACGCGACUUGUCGCCCGGUGCUGACGGCCGGGUUGGCGUUGGGUAGGUCCUAGAGUCCGCUCGGAGUUGCGUGGGCACGUAUGGGGCUGCCAUACGGUCCACCCUGGAUCUGGGGUGGCAGCCGGACGCAGAAAGGAGAUGUGCUCUCGAGGCGGCCGCGUCCAGGAGCUCGGCCACUCACUCCAGCAGCACGUCACGGCCGCCCUCCGGCAGCCUGCACCGCAGCAGCUCUCGGGCUACUCUGAACGCGGCCCUUGAGUUCGCCUGCUCCCGUCGGGUGUGCGGCGUUGUGGCUGUGGCAUGGAUUGAGGCUCUUGCUGCUGACCGCACCUGCCGCGGUGUGAGGGCAGGUGGUGUUUGGCCGCGUCGCCCGCGCCUUGCAACGCCCUGCGGAGCGUGAGCUGCCUGAGACGCGAGGUUGAGGUCACCCUGAGCCGGUGGCACAGCGUGGGCGGGCCACGCCACCCAGCGGUCGGCGUUGGCAGUCGGGUCGCUAGACAUCAGAACGGCGGGGCGACGGAACGCGAGGCGGUGGAAGAGGGAUUCCGGCGCACCCCUACCUGGCGCGCCAAAUGUCGGAUUUUGGGUCCCGGCAGACCCUUGAGGUUCAAACUCUGGGGUGCGCACGAAGAUCUUUCCCCUACCAGCUCACGUCUCGAAGCCUCGCAAGGGAUCUAAGCUAGAAAGAAGAACACACAAGGGACACGAGGUUUAUACUGGUUCAGUCCACCAUUGUGGUGUAAUACCCUACUCCAGUGUGUGGUGUGGUGGACUGCCUCAGGGGAUGAUGAUGAACAAUACAAAGGGAGAACAGCCUCGCGAGGGACUGUUCUUGAGCUGGUGCGAUGAACUGCUUAGGUGAGUUCAGUCGCCUCUAUCUCUCUAGUCUACCCGAAAACUCUCUCUCCCUCACUCUGUGGUGGCUAGCUCUAUUUAUAGAGGGAGGCCCUGGGCCUCUUCCCAAAUAAUGAGCGGGAAGGGCGCCAACAAUUGGCCAUUUUGAAGGGGAACAUCUAGUACACUUAUCCUGACUAAAGUUGGUCUCCGACUGCCAAAGACUCUGACGGUGACGCCGUUCUGGGCUCCACGAUGACCUCCAUCCUGCCGUUCUGCUGGUCUUGGUCUUGUUGCACCGAAACAGUAACCUUUGCCUGAUGCCUUGCCGAUGCUUGCCCCCUUUGCAUUGAAGGGGAAGCAAGGACACUGCGCAGGGCGGCGCCCGCCUGGCGCCCACCUGGUCUCGACCAUCAUGGCUUGCGUCACGGGAACCUCGCGAGGUUCCCUGCCUUGAUCUCUCCUCCUCCUCGCGAGCCCGCCGGAUGAGGCUGCUCUUGAGGAAGCUUUCUGUCAUCUGCCCCGUGAGGCUUGGCCCCUUGCGAGGGUCUUCAGCUUGAGCUCAUGAAGCUGGGCUGCACUGGGCCUCCGCUUGAGCCACACCGCAGGCCGUAGGCAGGCAAGUCUGGGGACCCCCAUUCCCAGAACGGCGACGAUAUUGUAAUAGGUAAAACAUCUUUAGUUCACCGACCGAAUAUUCCAUUAAGAACACUAGCUUUCGGCUUCACCCAGUCUAAGGUACAUGUCCGGAGUACCGGGCAGUAAUAAUCGCAGAGGUGCUCCGCUUAUGGCCUAGCUGAACUAACGGGAACGUAGGCCAUAAACACAGGAGCCAGGCAACCUAGCUUGGCCAAAACUUAAGUCGUAUCGAUGCAUAUAAUGGUGAAGAAAAGGUACAUAUGGGAAAGGGACACAUAUGCAGUGGGCGUGAUGCCCGGAACAUAAUUAUAUUAAGCUUCUGUAUAAGAAGCCCCCAGGUAUAAUGAGCGCACAUAUUUGAGGAUUAGCGCGUCGAGAGUGUGUAGAUGAUCCACACUCAAAGCCUUAAAGACACAAAAAUAAAGAGAGAGGAUAUAACUAAAAGGUAAGAAAAAGCCGGAGGGAAGGAGACGAACAGAGAGUUCGGCGCUAGGCGUAGAAUCUUCAGAGUCUGGCCGCGUUCCAUGGGUUCAGCUCGAGUCGAUUAUCUGAUGCAUCACGCAGGCGAUACGCUCCUCCGGUGAGAACUUUAUCAAUAAUGAAGGGACUCUCCCACUUGGGCUUGAGCUUGUCCUUUUUCUUCUCCGGUAGGUGUAGAACGAGUUUGCCAAUGUUAUAAGUUUUGGCCCGUACUUCUCUACUUUGAUAACUGUGAGCCUGUUGCUGAUAAAAUGCAGAACGGGAUUUUGCGACAUUGCGCUCCUCCUCCAGGGCAUCUAAAUUGUCCUGCCGAUCAAGCUUGGCUUCUCCCUCUUCAUUCAUGCGCACUCGAGGUGAGUCAUGAAUAAUAUUGCAGGGCAAUACCGCCUCUACGCCGUACACCAUGAAAAAGGGUGUUUAUCCGGUAGUGCGAUUUGGCAUAGUCCGUAGCCCCCAUAGUACGGAGUCGAGCUCCUCGACCCAGUGUGUGUCUGAUUCCUUUAGAGAUCGCACCAGUCUGGGUUUGAUGCCGCUCAUAAUAAGACCGUUUGCUUGUUCGACUUGCCCGUUUGUUUGAGGGUUAUAGACACAGGCGUAAUCGAGCUUAAUGCCCAUAUUGCGGCACCAAGUUUUCACCUUGUCGGCUGUGAAAUUGGAAAUGUUGUUGGUGAUGAUGUUGUGGGGGACACCAACCCGUGAUAUGAAGUCUAUCACUGGUCCGGAUUCAGCCGUUUUAACUGGUUUGGCCUCUAUCCAUUUGGUGAAUUUAUCCACCAUGACCAACAGGUAUUUUUUUUCUUAUGGCUUCCUCCUUUAAGGGGUCCGACCAUAUCGAGCCCCCAGACCGCGAAGGGCCAAGUGAUGGGGAUUGUUUGGAGAGCGGUGGGCGGCAUGUGGCUUUGGUUGGCGAAGAGCUGACAACCAACACAAUAUUGGACGAGGUCUUGUGCAUCUGCUCGGGCUAUCGGCCAGUAGAAACCUGUACAGAAGGCCUUGCUUACAAGGGCCCGAGCUACGGUGUGAUGGCCGCUGAAUCCGACAUGAAUUUAGGCCAAGAGCUGCUGCCCUUCCUCCUCAGAGAUACAUCUUUGAAAUACUCCAGUAGCGCUUUUCUUAUAAUGUUCUCCCUCAUGGACCUUGUAGGCUUUAGAACGCCGCACAAUGCAGCGUGCCUCAUUUUGAUCCUCGGGGAGUUCUUGCCUAUUUAGGUAGGCUAAGAAGGGUUCGGUCCAUGGGGUGAUGACAACCAUGAUUAGAUGGGCCGAAGGUGUUAUUUCGGUGGCAGAGCCUCCGAUUGUGUCAUCGUGUUCGGAAUCUAGGCUUGUGGUCGGAUCCAGACUAGUAUUGCCGGUCUCCCCUUGCCACACCAUAGAUGGCUUAAACAACCUUUAUAGGAAGGUGUUAGGUAGGACGGGGUCGCGCUUAGCGCCAAUGCGAGCAAGGAUAUCCGCCGCCUGGUUGUUUUCUCGAACCACAUGAUGAAAUUCAAGCCCCUCGAAUCGAGCUGACAUUCGCAGGACGGCAUUAUGAUAAGCCGCCAUUUUUGGAUCCUUGGCGUCGAAGUCUCCAUCUAUUUGAGAUAUUGCGAGCUUUGAAUCCCCAUGCACUUCUAGGCGUUGGAUGCCCAUGGAGACAGCCAUCCGAAGACCAUGCAACAGAGCCUCUUAUUCGGCUGCAUUGUUGGAGUCUGUGUAUAGUAUUUGGAGUACAUAUUGGACUGUAUCUCCGGUGGGGGAUGUCAGGACAACACCCGCUCCCAGAGCAGCCAACAUUUUAGAGCCAUUGAAGUGCAUGAUCCAAUUAGAAUAUGCGCCAUACUCUUUAGGGAGUUCGGCUCCUGUCCAUUCGGCGACGAAGUCAGCCAGUACUUGCGAUUUAAUGGCUCGCCGUGGUUUAUAUGUAAUGUUGAACGGGAGGAGUUCGAUGGCCCACUUAGCAAUCUGGCCCGUGGCAUCACGGUUAUUUAUUAUAUCGUUGAGUGGUACUUCGGAGGCCACCGUGAUUGAACACUCUUGGAACUAGUGUCGUAGUUUCAGGGAUGCCAUGAAGACCCCGUAUGCUAUCUUUUGAUAAUGUGGGUAUCGUGACUUGCAUGGUGUGAGGAUAGUGGAUACGUAGUAUACCGUCUUUUGAAGAAGGAGCUUACGUCCGUCCUCCUCUCGUUCGACGACGAGCACAACACUUACAACUUGGUGUGUUGCAGCUAUAUAAAACAACAUGGGUUCGCCAAUGUUUGGUGCGGACAAGAUUGGGUUGCUAGCCAGGAGGGCCUUUAUUUCUUCUAGUUCGGCCAUCGCCGCGUCCAUCCACUCGAAGUUUUCGGUGCGUCGAAGAAGGCGAUAAAGAGGUAAUGCCUUUUCUCCUAAUCAGGAGAUAAAGCGGGUUAAGGCAGCCACACAUCUAGUUAAUUUCUGGAUUUGUUUGAGGUCUGUUGGGGUAGCCAACUGUGACAAAGCUCGGAUUUUAGCCGGGUUUGCUUCAAUUCCUCUGUUGGAAACGAUGAAGCCCAACAGCUUUCUGGCGUGAACGCCAAAAACACAUUUUUCCGGAUUGAUCUUGAUGUCAUAUGUUCGGAGGUUGUCGAACGUGAGCCUCAGGUCGUCUAUUAAAGAUUCGAUGUGUCUGGUCUUGAUGACCACGUCGUCCACAUAUGCAUCAACUAUUUUGCUGAUUUGUUUUUCCAGGCAUGUCUGAAUCAUGCGUUGUUAGGUUGCACCGGCGUUUUUGAGCCCAAAAGGCAUGGUGUGGAAACAGAAAGGGCCGUAUGGGGUGAUAAAUGCCGUUGCAGCUUGAUUGGACUCCGCCAUUUUGAUUUGAUGGUAUUCGGAGUAUGCGUCAAGGAAACACAAUGAGUUGUGUCCUGCGGUAGCGUCGAUGAUUUGAUCGAUGCGGGGGAGGGGGAAGGGAUCCUUGGGGCAAGCCUUAUUGAGGUCCUUGAAAUCGACACAUAGGCGCCAUGAUUUGUCCUUCUUUGGUACCAUCACUAGGUUUGCUAGCCAAUCCGGUUGUUUUAUUUCUCUGAUGAAUCCAGCCUCGAGUAACUUGGCUAGCUUCUCUCCCAUAGCUUGUCGUUUAGGCUCUAAAAAGCGUCAUAGAGUCUGCUUGACCGGCUUGUAUACCUUAAAUAUGUUUAGGCUAUGCUCGGCCAGCCUGCGUGGGAUCCCUGGCAUAUCUGAAGGGUGCUAGGAGAAGAUGGCCCAAUUCUCACGUAAGAACACCCGCAGUGUAGCGUUGAUUGUGGGGUUCAGCUAUGCCCCGAUGGAUGCUGUUUUUGUAGAGUCCGUUGGGUGGAAUUGGAAUUUGACUAUUCCGUCCGCUUGUUUGAAAGAGGUGGACUUGGAUCGCUUGUCGAGUAUCACGUCGUCCCUAUCCACUGUGGAGCAUAGCGUCAUUAAUUCUUCGGCCGCGAGGGCUUCGGAUAAUGCCUCAAGGGCCAGGGCGGCGGUUUUAUUUUCGGCAGGGAGUGCUAUGUCUGGAUCACUGGCUAGAGUGAUGAUUCCGUUGGGCCCGCGCAUCUUGAGCUUCAUGUACCCAUAAUGGGGUAUAGCUUGGAAGCUCGCGAAUGCAUCCUGCCCUAACAGGGCGUCGUAUCCAGUACUAAACGGGGCCACUUGGAGUGUUAUCUCUUCGGACCUGUAAUUUUCCGGCAUGCCGAAUACCACAUCGAGUGUGAUUUUUCCCGCACAUUGUGCCUCCCAACUAGGGAUAAUUCCUCGGAAGGUCGUGCUGCUUUGCUCAAUGCGGCUCUUGUCUAUUUCCAUUUUGUUGAGAGUUUCCUCGUAGAUGAGGUUUAAUCCGCUGCCGCCGUCCAUGAGCACUUUAGUAAGCCGGAAACUGUCCACAAUUGGCCUAAGGACCAACACGGCUAGUGCUCAAACUGCUCGGAAUUGAGGUUCGUCACUGGCAUUAAAGGUUAUAGCCGUGUCGUUCCAGGGAUUUAUUGCUGCAACGUGGCAGACUUCGGCAAGGCUACGGAGUGCUCUCUUGCGCCUGUUAUUUGGGGCGAAAGUCUCGAAGACUGUCAACACUGUAUUGUUGUUUUCCGCGGGAUGAUGCUCUGCGGUAUUGUUAAUGGGGACUUCCUCGCCGCUCUUGGCCACCUGCCGAAGUAUCCAACAUGCUCUAAGGCUGUGUGUUGGUACGGUAUCUGGUGUGGUGUGAACUUUGCAUGGCCUAUUGAGCCAUCCCUCCAAUACGGUUCCACACCCUGUAAUGGGCUUUGGCUUCUUUAUGAUUGGAUCGGGUGACUUGCGAGAGUGCACCUUUUGGCUCGGACGAAGGGUUUAGUGAGCACGGGAGGAUCACAGAAUGUUGCCUGGGUUUUCCAGGUGCUUUCCAUCGCAUAGUACUUCUGUACUAUGGCCUCCAAGUCAACGAAGUAUGAUAUGUCAUGGAGACUUAUGGCGUUAAGGAUUCCCUUGUCCGUGCAUUUUUUUGCAAAAGAAUGAGAUUGCGUCUUCCUCGCGACUAUCCUUAACCUUGCUCAUUACAAGGAGGAAUCUGGCCCAAAAGUGAUGUACUGUCUCUUGGGAUUGUUGUCUAAUGUGGGAAAGAUCGCUUGUAUCUGGGUGGGUGGGUAGAUUUAAGUCCGAACCCUGACCCGAUCCGGGGCCCAGAGGCUAGGGAGCUUCCGAACUUGGUAGUUCGGGUUCCAGGAUGUCACCCUAUUUUUCUGGCCAGCUGUCCGAUUCUAAAUUCAGAGUUUGGGCCAUGUCCUCCCGCGAGCGGGUAUCCGGCUCAGAGAGCUCGGUAAUUCGGACAUAGUCCAUCCUCAAAAUAGAGGAAGAGUUGCUGCAUUGCUCCUCCACCACCGCUAUUUGAUGGGUGAUCGGCGGAGAGUUAAUCUCUCAUUGACCGGGUUUAAGACCAAUCCGAUCAUAGUCCGUAGCGACUCCCAAAGCAGCGAUGUGAUCCAGGAGCUCGUUCAAGGAGGAAACUUCCAUUGGAUCCAUCCGCUCCGUGUAUUCCGGGCUGACGUGGAGGCUGUUUUUCAAUGACCCUUGAAGUCAUCAUCGGCACGGCGGCCGAACGGGCGGUCAUGAUGAAGCUGCCUAGUCGGAGGGUUUGGCCUAAGGACAGGGCUCCCCCAGAGGCGAUGUUGUCCUUGAUAAUAAGGCGAGCCAUCAAACCUUUUUUCGAUGUCACAGUGGAACUCUCAAUGAAAGCACCAAUGUCGGUGUCAAAACCGGCGGAUCUUGGGUAGGGGGUCCCGAACUGUGCGUCUAAGGCUAAUGGUAAUAGGAGGCAGGGGACACGAUGUUUACCCACGUUCUAGCCGUGUCUAUGGAGGUAAUACCCUACUUCCUGCUUGAUUGAUCUUGAUGAUAUGAGUGUUACAAGAGUUGAUCUACCAUGAGAUCAUAGAGGCUAAACCCUAGAAGCUAGCCUAUGAUUAUGAUUGUUCUUGUUCUACAGACUAAACCCUCUGGUUUAUAUAGACACCAGAGGGGGCUAGGAUUACAUCAGGUCGGCUACAGAGAAGGGAAUCUACAUAUCCGAAUUCCCAGGCUUGCCUUCCACGCAAAGGAGAGUUCCACCCGGACACGGGAUGAAAUCUUCAAUCUUGUAUCUUCAUGGUCCAACAGUCCGGCAUAAGUAUAUAGUCCGACUGUCUGAGGACCCCCUAAUCCAGGAAUCCCUCGCCGGUUGCUUGACCAGAUUUUCACAACUACGCCCCUGCCUGGCGUGCCAAGGAUGUCGAUGAGAACGACACCUAUGGGAUCAACGGGAUCCCUACUGUGGUCGGCGGGCGUGGGGUUGUGAGAAGAGCAGGUCUAGGAGCCAGCACAAAGGUCGUUUACCCAGGUUCGGGCUGCGGAGAUCACGUAAUACCCUAGUCCUGCUUUGGUGUGUAUAUCAGUGUUCUUGAGCUAGCUAUCGAGCGUGACUUGCCCAAAGUGCCGAAUCCCUCUCUAGUAUGCCUCGGGCCUCCUUUUAUAGUCGAAGGAGGCGCCAUAGUGGCACACAGGAGGUGGAAUGGGUACAGUAGCUAUAUUUAUCGCUUGCCAUUAUGGGAUAAACACAUUAAAUGUGCCUUUAAGUUGUCCCCCUGCUUUAUCGCUGCCUCGCCCUACUUUGACACAUGCCCAUGCCAGCGAGGCGGUCAGCACCGUGUAGACUGGCAGGCUGCUGAGGUGGUGCGGUGGCAGCGCAUUCACGAAGAUCUGCAUGCAACCACGCAGGUGCUUGCUGAGUUGGCCUCGGGACCGCGUCGCCACGCAGGUGCCCGGCUGGCUGGCUGUGCUGGCAGCUGCAUGGGAAUGGCGGUGGGGUCUUGGUGUGCAUGGGCCUUGCCGUGGUCUCGUUGAUGUCCUCGGCAAGGGUCUUGCCGGGGGCCUCGGCAAGGGUCUUGCCGCGGCACCGCGGUCGUCCCCGGCAAGGAUGUUGCCGGAGGUCUCGUCUCCUGGUCCUCAUUUGAUAUUGGGUGUUAAUGAUCUUCACAAAGAUCUGCAUGCCACCAUGGAGGUGCCUCCUGAGCUUUGGUUCCAAUGUGGUUGAUGUGUUGGAAACCUUGGGCUCAUGGGUGGCGCGCUCUGCUGGUGUUGGGCGAGUCGCCCCGGCAAGGUCCUUGUCGGGGCCGUGGAGGCCGACCCGGCAAGGGUCUUGCCGGGGGAGUCCACCUCACCCUCUUGCUCUUUGUGUUUCUUUCUUGGCGUUGCUUUGAUCAUCUAGUGGCAUCAACUUCUCUUAGCCGCCCUGCUAUGUGUGGCCGUGGGCGUGGCUCUGACUGCCCGUGCACAGGUGAAGGGGUACAAAGUAGAUUCCGUACUUUUGUACACCGACAAGAGGAAAGGUCAAGAGUGGGCACCUCCUCCUUCGGCUGUUCUCUUGAUUCGUUCGAUCAAGUUGUUAUGUUUGACCGAUUAUCAAGAUUGGGAUAGCAAUUUUUAGGUCCGCUCGAGUUCGAAAUGAUAUUUACCUUGAAGGUACAUGGUUUGCAAUUUUUUAUGUUGUCCUUAGUUAAUAAUGCUAGUUACCUUCAGACUUUUGUAUUUGGUUUAAUGCCCUUGCACAACUAGUAUACCAAUGCUGAAACUUGUUACCUUUACAUCUUGUAUUGCUAAUUCUUAUAGAAAUCUUCCAGUGCUAGAGCUUAUGGAAAUCUGUUCAGUAAAACCAUUGUACUGUACCUUGUAAUAAAAUAACUACUCUACUGUUGCACUAGCCACUAGAUUACUGUAUAUUUGUACUAUUUGAAUGGUGUUGCAUUAGCGUAUGGACAUAUAUAUAGUGUGGCAAGCUUUCCUAGAUAUGUGCUCAAGAAAACUACUACCUGUUUUUCUAAAUACUAGACGUUUGGGUACUUUAAAUUGAACUGCGAAAACAUCUUAUAUUAAGGAACAGAAGGUGUAGAGUUCACUCAAAUUAUCCUGGUAAAGCUAGUCACACAUUUGUUAAAAUUAAUGUUCAUUAUGUUAUCAGAGGAGGUUUGUAUGUUUGUCUCUAAUGCCAGUGGACUACAUACCUGACAUCAUGAUGUAAUGUUAAGUCAUUUCCUUUUGUAAAGUGUCACUGAAUUGUCAAGGUGGCGAUGGCAUUUUAUUUUAGUUGAACUGCACAAAAUAUGCUUAAAAGAAGAGGAAAGGUCAGGAAUGGCUCAAUUUUUCACAAAAAACUAUGAAUGCCUUCCCGACAUCAGCCGCAGUUGCCUUAUUUAUUCCUUCAAACAGGUGGUUAGAAACAGUCUUGCUACCUUUUCCCAUUAAGACAUCGGAAUGCAUAUAUUUGUGAGUCUAUGCUUCAACUAGUGCCACUUUUAUAGUAAUCACACUUUCAAUAUCUAUGCAAACAGGGAUGCUCUAUUUUAGUGGAACUGCACAAAAAGUCCAAAUGGUUCAACAUUAGGAGCAUGUUUUCUUCCAAACCUUUAUAUCCAAUUGGUGGCACUAUGAGCUGUUCAUUACGAAGGUGCAUGGUUUGCUACUAUCUUGCUACUCUUUUUGUACUAUCAUUAGAUAGUAUUACUAGUGGUUUGCAUGUGAAUUUAUUGGUAGGGUGGACCUACAUUGGAGGUGCAGGACAUGAUUCAAUGAUUGGAUGCUCAAUUCUGGCUGUAUCGAUUUCACCUCUUCCAUCACUGCGAACAUGGAUAUCCUCGGUCUGAUGAAGAACAGGCGCUAUAUUUCUGCUCUGAACCAGCAACUCAAUUCAGUAUGAAAUUGUUCAAGGCAAAACACGACUGUAUCAAAUUGUCCAGUGCAAAACAUGACAGAUGCUAAGCGGAAGAGACCAACCGAAAAUACAAGGUGGGGUAUAUGUUUACUAGCUGCUUGAUAUUUGUGCAGACAGAGAUGUCUGCCAGUUGCUAUUUGGCAAACAAACAAAGUGACCGGAAUUUUGGUUGAACUGCACAAGAGAAUAGUAUAGUCACUGCAUGCAGUGCCAUUUUAAAACAGACACAAAAAGAUUGGAUAGUCACUUCAUGGACUGCAGAAAAGUAGUAUUGUACUAUUUAUUGGCCAACACAAGAUUCUUCAUUGCUUUGGUAUGAUUAUACAAUGGACAUCAUUUUGCCUAAGUUAAAGUUUGUAUUCCGAAAAUAGUCUCACCGUGUGAUCGAGAGAAGACCAAAUCAUAUUGCAGUGGAUGUUCCACCAUCAUGUGUGGUUCAUUCUCAUGGUUCUAGCUAUUGGUGAAACCACUUACGUUUGCAAGAGGAAUUGCAUACUUCGCAAACAAAUUUGUCUUUCACUCUGUACUGAAUGUUGGCCAAGAGAAGCAUCCAUGUUAGUAGGAAGAACAGAUGUAUAUUCUAGAUCUUUGCUUUUGGAGCUACAUAUUUGUAUAUGAUCUGUGAAUCAUUGAGAUGCAUUAACAUGUCGAUCUUAGGUAUGGGAAUCAUACUAGUUGGUUUUGUAUUUGCGCUACUAAUGUGAACAUAUUACAUUGCCAGGCCUGUGAGUCUCGUGUGAACAUUUCAAACGGAUCAGCUCUUACUGAUGUGCACAACAUGAUCCUUAUUUCUGUGUUCUUAGUGUUUACAUUUACUAACAGUUCCUUAUUUCUGUUCGCUUAGUGUUUACAAGUUACUGGUCGAUCACUAGCUAGCCUACUAAUGCGCUCCUAGUAGUUUUAGUUGCCACGCAAGAUCUGAAGUGGUAGUUUUUUUGAAUAAAAAUGCCUACCUCUGAAGAAACUGACAACCAGCUUUGAAGAAAAUGCCAUGCGAAUCUGAAGAAACUGCCAACAAAAACGUUCGCAAAUGCCUUAUCUCCCAGCGAACGUUCAUCAGCUAAUGCGAUCAUACACGUACACCAUCCGAUCUACUCGAUCCUACACGUACACUAUCCGACCUACACUGAUAAAUAGCGGAUCACACACGUACUACCUCCUUUCCGGUUUGCAGUUAUUAAUUCAAAAAUCUCACCAACCUGCUUAUGCAUUGAAUUCCGUUGACCGUGAUGACCAUCACGUUUCCCGCGACACGCUGGUUCGCCUACCUUCCGCUGGACGUGGAUCCUCUAACUUUGUAAUCCCUGCAAUACCCUGCCGUCGAGUCACUGACAGGUGGGCCCCAUGCUCUAUGGGACCCAUGUGUUAGUGACUCAAAGGUAGGCUAGGACAUGGCAGGCGAUACUCGUCCCCUUCCGCCUAUAAUUACUGUUACCCGUCCUUCUUCGGUGGCACCAUCAGCCAACUCGCCCUAUCCUCAUAAACCCCCACCGGCCCGACGUCCCUCGCCACUUAUCCUUGCUCUCGCCACGUCCGCCAUGCCCCCGCCCGUCCGCGAUAGGAGACGAUGGAGGCGGUCACCGCCGGAACUAGUGUUCGGUUUUUCACUGGAAGGCAGACGGAGGGAGGAGGCAUUCUAUCGGUAUUUAGAUGGCAAUGCGGAGUAUGACGAGUUGUUGGAGCGCGAUCGCCGGGAGGAGGAGCAGCGCAUCACCGAUUUGUGCCGCUAGCGGGACAUGGAGCAGCAGCGCACCGACGCUCUGAGUCGCGAGAAGAGCGCCCAGAACUAGGCUGACUACAUGGAGGCCGGCGCCCGGCAAAUAGCCCUAGAGGCUGUCGGGCACGCACGCGUUCGCGACACCGAAUUUUACUACCAACUCGUCAAGUGGGUUUCCCGCUUAGAAGCCGAAGCUUUGGUGGACCACGCCAGCUUGGUAAGCGCCAACGCGCGCGAGCAACAAGCCCUAUCGCACCUCUGGCACGUCCAAGGUGAGGCGGAGGACGCCGAUGCCGACGUUUAAUGUGUACCGCAGAUGGCGGCCAACAUCGUCUAGUUAGCUAAGAGUAAGUUAGUACUUGUACGCUACUAGAGUAUUAGUGGGAGUAUAUAGUUAACUUGGCUAUGAUGGUUGUCAACGUGGCAGUUUAGUACUCUAUAUCUGGAUCAGACCUGUUACUUUGCUCUGAAUGUUGAACUUUCCGUUUGAACGUAUGGAAUGGGCUAUUAUUUUUUUAAAUUGGUUGUAUUUGUCCGCCAUGGGUUUAGAGACUAACUUGUGGGCUUACCAGGUUGACGCGUACACAAUCAGGAGAUGAUUGUAUGUGGAGAGGAUGACAGUAGGGACCCACCAAGGUCAUGGCAGUACGCAAGCAAGUGCCUCCUUAUUUCAAGCCAAUAAAAAUGGCCCCUCCUAUUGGAUUUCUGACAUAUGGGUCCCAUGCCAUUGUUAAUGUAGUCAAUAAACGAGAGAAUUGCACAAUGAGCAGCUGAUACCAGGGACCUAGCAGCUCGCCAAGGUAUUUUUGUUUUGGGUUAAUUUGAUAAAUACCACUCCAAAUCUGGUGAUUCCAAGAAAUGCCACUGCAAUUUCCAAACUUUGAAAAAUGCAAUUUCAUGCUAUUUCCAGUGGCAUUUUUUGAAGUCUGAAGUGGCGUUUUUCAAAGUUUGCGAAAAUUGCAAUGGCAUUUUUCAAAGUUUGGAAAUUGUAGUGGCAUUUUUAUGAAUCGGCCAUAAUUGGAGUGGCAUUUAUCUAAUUGUUUUUGAGAUGGAAGCAGGGUGUCAACUGGGCUGUGGGGGGCACUCUGGCCUGUCUAGACAGCCUUUUCUUUUAUGUUUACCACAGACUAGCCCAGUAGUUUUUUUUUUCUUUCUGAAAAUGGCUAGCCUAGUUUUUUUGUGAUUUGUCAAGUAAGUCGCUUUGUCAAGCCUGUUGGGCUACAAAUCUUUCAAGACGAGGAGAGCUUCAUUCGGCUGGCCGAGAAAAUGGCCUAUCAGUAAUGAGAAAUGGGCUGUACAUUCUUAAAACACAUCAAACCAGCAAUUAGUUUCAAAUUUCUUUUUUUUCAUUUUGAGAUUUUAAAUUGCAUUGAUUUUUAUGCGUGGACAAUUUGUUAGAUUUUAUAUUGAUAUACAUUUACUUUUAAAAUCAGUUUGAAUGUGACUCGAAAUUUCGGGAUUAAAAACAGUUCGGACUGCACCGAAAUAUGCAAAAUUUCGUAUAACUUUUUAACUGUGGCUACAAUAUGGGCUUUAAUGCUAAAAAAAGAAUAUGGGCUCCAAAAAACCCUUAUGAAUUAGCAAAUGAGCUGUAAAUUAUUAGAAAUAAUGGUAGAUGGGAUGUAUGCUAUUUUCCACAGAUUUGAAGCUUUCCUAAAAAAAGGUUGACGCACAAGCAGUGACUGUUGGAUGUCCAUCCAACGGCCGUCGUGCUUGUUCAAUCUCUGCUCUUCCUGCUCCAGCCGCUCAAACAAGCGCCGACGGGACUGCUUGCUCCCUCCUCCUGUGGCCGGCUGUGCUGCCGCGUAGGCCUCACCACCCCACCGUACUCCCAUCACUGGCCUACCCAUCCCUCUACUCACCUACACCUUUUGUUAUUCUCCAGCGAUGGCAGACGAACCAGUAAACCCUCGUACAAUUGUACUCCCCUCUGCAUGGGAAACAACUGUCGAGUCUUCCCUAGCUCCAUGUCGUUCCCUUCCUAGGCCUCGCUAUCGUCCACCACCCUGGUGCUCUCGGCGCGGCGUGGUCAUUGUGGUCAAUGACCGACAUGCUUCUGUAGUGGACUGUACGUGGAGAGGCUGACAGUUGGGUCCACGGACGCAUGCAAGGAAAUGCCUCCUUAUUACGCACAAAAUAAUGAUUCCUCCACAUGACAUCUAGGACCCACCGAAAGGCCCUCUAUAUUUCGCGAAAAAAAUGUUCUCGCCGCUGACAGCUCGGACCCACCAGCUAUAUCUUCGCACGCAAGGAACUGCCUCCUUAUUACGCACAAAAAAAUGAAUACUCCCUCCUAGCUCAGACCCAGCAUAGUGGGAGGAUGACUUGUCGGCCUACUAAGUUGACGGGGACGGAGGGCUUUGUGAACUUAGUCAAUAUGAAGGACUCUAGCUCCGGUGACCGUACGAUGUCCAUCCAACUACCGUAGUGCUUCUUCAACCACUGGUCUUCUUACUCCAGCCGCCCAAAGUAGCACCGGUUGUGCCGCCUGCUCCUGCCUCUCGUGGCCGGCUGUGCUGCCACGGAGGCCUCACCGCCCCCUACUACUCCCACCGCUGGCCAGACCAUCUCUCCACUCACCCACACCCCCUGUUAUUCUGUGGCGACGACAGCCUCACACCGCAGCCGAACCAGUGAACCCUCAUACUCCUCUCCGCGUGGGCAUCCACUAUUGCGUCUUCCCCGGCUCCAUGUCGUCCCCUUCCUAGGCCUCGCUGUCAUCAACCGCCUUGGUGCUCUCGGCGCGGCGUGGUCAAUGUGGUCAACGACCGACUUCCAUCGGAAGAGUACUGUAAGUGGAGAGGCCGACAACUGGGUCCACGGCCGCAACAAGGAAGUUCCUCCUUAUUACACAUAAAAUAAUGAUUCCUCCAGCUGACAGCAGGGACCCACCGGAUGGGCCACCGUAUUUCGCCAAAAAAACAUUUCCCGCUGAUUGCUGGGACCUACCAGCUACAUCUUCAUACACAAGUAAGUGCGUCCAUACUACGGGCAAAAAAAUGAUUCGCCCCCUGACUGCCCAGCUACAUCUUCGCACGCAAGGAAGUGCCUAACAAUCGGGACCCACCUGGUCGAAGCAUACGUAGCGUUGUCAUUCUGGUCGCGAACAUGUACAUACAUACUGGUCGAUGUAGAGGCACACACGUGUCGAUGUAGAGGCACGCAUGUGUCGUAGUAGAGGUGCACACGUGUCGUAGUAGAGGCGCGCACGUGUCGUAGUAGAGGCGUGCAUGUAGCAUGUACACGUACGUACAGCGGCCAGGGUGCAAGAAAGAAAAUGUGGCCGCGUACGUACAUACGGGCGGGGUCUCGAACACCGGCGCACACAUACGGCCGGGGCUCGUGUACAUGGAUGGGUCGGAACAGACAAACUGCAUCAUUGUCGUGUUCAUGGGGAAGCAACGGAAUGCGUCGUGUUCAUCGGGAGGCAAUGGAAAACAUGCUGUUCAUCGGGAGCCAACCGGCUUGGACGGAACAGCCGAUGGAAACGAGGCCUGGCGUACAGCAGAACGGAGGAAACGUCUUUGUGUUCAACCGGCCACGGUCAAAACAAGAUCCUAUACAUCGGGAGGGGUCUGGCGUACCGCAAAACAGAGGAAACGGACUUCUAUUGGACCUCCCAUGGUCGAAACGGGGUCCUGUUGAUGGGGAGGGUUGUGGCGUACUGCAAAACGGAGGAAACAGACUUGUGUUGGAGCGCUACGGUCGAAACCAAGGUCCUGUUCAUCGGGAGGGGUGUGGCGUACCGCAAAACGGGACUCCACGGGAUACUGUUAAUCUCCACCAUCGAGCUCCUCCAGCCUCCACGGGCUACUCUUCAUCCACCGUCGACCACCUCCAGCCUUGUAACACCCCAGAUGUAACUUUCCACAUUUGUAACUGCAACUCUUGCCAUUUUCGGCUAUGUGUUACGAUAUUCCCUCCAUGGUUGGGUUUUUGUCUUUCGUUUUGCAUUUUGUUCAUGUCAUGCAUCUCAUAUCAUGUCAUCAUAUGCAUCUCAUUUGCAUAUGUGUUCGUCUCAUGCAUCCGAGCAUUUUCCCUGUUGUCCGUUUUGCAAUCCGACACUCCAACAUGCACCGGCGCACCCCUCUUCUCUCUUUUCGUGAGCGGGUGUUAAAUGUUCUCGGAAUGGCCCGACGUUUGCCAAGCGACCUUAGUAUAGCACCGGUAGACCGUCUGUCAAGUUUCGUGCCAUUUGGAGGUCGUUUGAUACUCUUACGGUUAACCGGGUAUCCGCAAAGGCCUCUUUUGGGUUGCAGCCCAACUGUCACACCCAAUAUGCGACCCUAUCCAAAAGGAACUCGAAGGUCCCACUAAGGAUAGACCCGCAUAUUGGGACGCUUUUGCAAGGUGGAUAUCAUUACAUCAACAUUACAUAAUAGAUGGGGAUACAUACAUCAGGCAUACAAUGCCACACGAAUACAACAUCACAUCAUACAAGAACAACAUCCGACUACGGAAGAAUCAUAAACAGAAACUCAAACAAUAUCCACCCUGCUAGCCCAGGCUGCCGACCUGGAACCUAUCCCCUGAUUGAAGAAGAAGCAGAAGAAGACCUCAACGCAAGCAAGCAUCGCUCUCACGUCAAGAUCAUCGCAACCUGUACCUGCAACUGUUGUUGUAGUAAUCUGUGAGCCACGAGGACUCAGCAAUCCCAUUACCAUGGGUAUCAAGACUAGCAAAGCUUAAAGGGAAUGGAAGGGGUAAAGUGGUGAGGCUGUAGCAGCGGCUAAACAUGAUAUGGUGGCUAACAUACGCAAAUAAGAGCGAGAAGAGAAGCAAAGGAACGGUCGUCAACUAGUAAUGAUCAAGAAGUGAUCCUGAACACCUACUCACGUCAAUCAUAACCCAAAAACCGUGUUCACUUCCCGGACUCCGCCGAGAAGAGACCAUCACGGCUACACACACGGUUGAUGCGUUUUAAAUCGGAUCUGGUGUCAAGUUAUCUACAACCGGACAUUAACAAAUUCCCAUCUGCCAAUAACCGCAGGCACGGCUUUCGAAAGAUUAUACCCUGCAGGGGUGUCCCAAAUUAGCCCAUGACAAGCUCUCACGAUCAACGAAGGAAUAGACCUUCUCCCAGGAAGACCCGAUCAGACUCGGAAUCCCGGUUUACAAGACAUUUCGACAAUGGUAAAACAAGACCAGCAAGACCUCCCGGCGUGCCGACAUCCUGAUAGUAGCCGCGCGUAUCUUGUCUCAGGCCACGACCGGAUGAGCAGUACGUACAAGUAGAACCAGCCCUCAAGUUUCCCCGAGGUGGCGCUGCAAGUGGCUUUAGUUCGGACCAACACUUAGACAAGCACUGGCCCGGGGGGGGGGGCUAUAAUAAAGAUGACCCUCGAGAGAGCGACUCCCAAGGGAAAAGUAGGUGGUGGUGAGGCAAAUGGUAAACGUCAAUGUUGGGCCUUGCUGGAGGAGUUUUAUUCAAAGCGAACUGUCAAGGGGGUCCCAUAAAUCACCCGACCGCGUAAGGAACGCAAAAUCCGGGAACAUAACACCGGUAUGACGGAAACUAGGGCGACAAGAGUGGAACAAAACACCAGGCAAAAGGCCGAGCCUUCCACCCUUUACCAAGUAUAUAGAUGCAUUAAUAAUAUAAGAGAUAUUGUGAUAUCCCAACCAAAAUCCUGUCCACCAUGGAGAAAUCUUCAACUUCACCCGCAACUAGCAACGCUAUAAGAGGGGCUGAGCAAAAGCGGUAACAUAGCCAAUCAACGGUUUGCAUAGGAGAGGUGUCAAAGGUUAGAGGUUCAUGGCAAUAUGGGAUGGCUUGAUGAACAAGUGAUAGGUAUCGCAGCAUAGGAACAGAACGAAGCAACUAGCAUAGCAAUGAUAGUAGUGAGAUCCAGGGUAGGGGUCAUCUUGCCUGAAAUCCCGCAAGGAAGAAGAAUGAGUCCAUGAAGAAGAUGAACGGAUGAAGCCGAACAAACCGUAGACGAACGAAUCCUCACGAUCGCAACAAAACAGGAACUAUCGAAAAGAAGCACACAACAAGGUAAACACACCACACAUGAACAAGCCAUGAUGCACAACCAAACAUGAUGCAUGACGAAGCUACAUGAAGCUACUCAUGGCAAGAGAUGAUGCAAACAAGAGCAACACAUCAAGACAAGUUUAAAUGAGGCCGGGAACAACAUAUAACAAAUCCGGUAAGUCCUCAUAUGCAAAUUUCGAAAUGGGUCCAGAUCUGAAUAAACCUUAUGUUCAAGUUGUUAAACAGCAAGUUAAGAUGCACCAAGAUGAUCUACACGAGAUUCUAGUCAAGUUACAUAUAAAGUUCAUUAGAUUUGGAGCUACGGCCUAGAAGAUAUGAGCAAAACAAGAUCAACAUGGCAUUGAUGCAAAAUGCACCCAAACAUCAAGCAAACACCUCAAAACAAGGAUGCAACAUGAUAAUAUGAAGCUACAUGCAAAAACAAGCAAGUUUCAUAUAGAGCACACUCAAAACGGAGCAACAGUUGAACACACACACACACUAUACAAGUCAUAGCAACAAUCUGUCCAUAACAGCAAGUAGGCAUGUUACAAGCAUCAAAACAACAAGCUACAGGACCUCAACAUAAUAACAAAAGGCAUGGGCAUGAUGUACAGGUAAAGCAUAACAAAACAUGAACACUCAGCUAUCUCCAGAAAUCACUAGAUCAUGCUCAAACACUCAUGGUAAGAUUGCAAAUAAUAACAGUUCAGACUUUAGCAGAAAUAACAUCAGGUUGCAAUGUUCAGAACUAUCAAACAACAUGUUACAGGAACUUAUAAUGGCAAACAAAGUCAUGGCAUGAAUCUACUCAAAGCAUAGAUCAAAAGACCCUUACUUACCAUGAGCCAAAAAGGAUCAGAAGAUAUGAUGGCACCCAUGUAAACAUGGCAAGUUGUAUUACAGAUUCAAACAUGGCAGGAACAACAAUAAGUAGGCAUGUUGGUGAGCUUGUGCAACUCAAUACAGAGCAAUACAUGGCAUGGUAAGGCAACCAACAGUAAGAAUACAUGUUUAUGAAGCUAAGCAUGGCAAUAGCAAGUUCAUAGGGUGCAUGGAACACUAGCAAAACACAUGGGAACAAGUGAACUUAAUGUUAACAGGCUGACAGCAACAUUAUUUAGCAACUUUGGAGCAAGAUUACAAUAAGCUACAGCAAGCUAUAAAUGCACUCAGGGGCAUUAAUGGAUAGAGCAUGAUAUGUAGAACAAAACAUGUUUAUAGAGCAUCUCCAGAUUAUGCAUAGAAUGAUUAGUAGCAGCAUGUUUAUAUAGCAUCACGAAAGAACAGAUUCAGCCUAGCAAAACAGCAACAGCAAGACCCCUACUUAACAAGCUCGAUUCACUCACCACAAGUCAUUGCAUGACAAUAUAAGCAUAGCAUCAUCAAGAAGACAUGUUUGUGUAACCAACCAAGGCAAGAACAAGUCCAUAGCAUGCAAGGAUCAACUAUAGCAAGCUUGGCCAAAUUGAAUACCACGUAAACAAUCUGCCAGGACACAUUUUGAAGCAAAAGUAGAGCACUCAAAUGACAUGAUAGACUACUCCAUAAUUGCAAACAAGGGCAUGAAUGGUUAAACAAUAACCAUAUGUUCAAAACACCCUUACUGAAGUAUCUCAAAAUAUGCAUGGAUCUCUCUGUAGCAUCAAGUUUACAUGGCAUCAAAAUAACAACAGAAUAGGGACUAAAAUCAGCAAUAUCACGAAGCCUAGUUUGCAUGCUUGUGCUAGUCACCACAUUGAUCACAAAAAUACAUGGCAUAUACCCCUGGAAAGAUGGCAUGGCAUAGAUCAAAACAUAUGAAGACAUCAACCUCAUAGGAUGCACACAUCAAUCAUGGCAAAAAUGACAAAUGAGCAAGUUAUAACAGUUUCAGCAGAUUAACAUCACUUAGCACUCUUACAACGAUGAUUCAGGCAUCAAGAUGAACUCAAAUUGAAAUGAUGCAAUGGAAUGAAAUGAAGUACUCGUCGAGGCGAACAAUUUGACAUAUUACACGCACGAAACGGAGCUACGGAUGCAGAGAUACAACAUGAUGAACAUGGCAUGAUAAUGUCAAAUCUCAGGGACUUAGGGAAAACGGGGUCAACCUCCAGUUUGCACGGUUUUCGAGGAUGGCCGGGGUUCUCGCCGGAGUAACUGCCGGAGAGGACGGGGAAGACGUCGGGGAGGCGGAUCCGUGGCCGGGGAGACCUCCUCCGGCCGGAUCUCGCCGGAUCCGGCGCGGGGCGGCGAGGAGGCGCGGGGACGGGGCUCCCGGAGCGCGGGACGGAGGAGCGGAGCCGGCGNNNNNNNNNNNNNNNNNNNNNNNNNNNNNNNNNNNNNNNNNNNNNNNNNNNNNNNNNNNNNNNNNNNNNNNNNNNNNNNNNNNNNNNNNNNNNNNNNNNNNNNNNNNNNNNNNNNNNNNNNNNNNNNNNNNNNNNNNNNNNNNNNNNNNNNNNNNNNNNNNNNNNNNNNNNNNNNNNNNNNNNNNNNNNNNNNNNNNNNNNNNNNNNNNNNNNNNNNNNNNNNNNNNNNNNNNNNNNNNNNNNNNNNNNNNNNNNNNNNNNNNNNNNNNNNNNNNNNNNNNNNNNNNNNNNNNNNNNNNNNNNNNNNNNNNNNNNNNNNNNNNNNNNNNNNNNNNNNNNNNNNNNNNNNNNNNNNNNNNNNNNNNNNNNNNNNNNNNNNNNNNNNNNNNNNNNNNNNNNNNNNNNNNNNNNNNNNNNNNNNNNNNNNNNNNNNNNNNNNNNNNNNNNNNNNNNNNNNNNNNNNNNNNNNNNNNNNNNNNNNNNNNNNNNNNNNNNNNNNNNNNNNNNNNNNNNNNNNNNNNNNNNNNNNNNNNNNNNNNNNNNNNNNCCCGAGGCGGCCCGGGGCGGUCUCACGAUGGGCCGAGCGGGCCCGCGGCGGCGCGGUGGAGAGAGGAGGGCGCGGGCCGGGUGAGGUGGCGGCGGCUGGUUGGCUGCGGGCGGCGGCGGGGCGACGUGGCAGCACCGGAUUGGUCGGGAUGACGUGUCCGGCGGACAUGUCCGGCGCGGAUGGACAUGUCCGGCGGCGCGAGGAGGACAAAGCUAGGGUUUCGGGGGGAUUAGACCGCGAGUUUUGGGGGAGGGGCUAUAUUUAUAGGUUGAGGGAGCUAGGAGAGUCCAAAUGAUGUGCGGUUUUCGCCCACACAAUCGUGAUCGAACGAUCGAGAGCAUGGAGGGGAGUUAGGUGGGUUUUGGGCCACUUUGGAAGGGGUGUUGGGCUGCAACUCAAAGAGGGCUUUGCGGUUAACCGGUUAACCGUUGGAGUAUCAAACGACCUCCAAAUGACACGAAACUUGACAGGCGGUCUACCGGUCCUAUACCAAGGCCUCUUGGCAAACCUCGGUCCAUUCCGAGAACAUUUAGCUCCCACUCACGAAAAGAGAGAAGAGGGAGACGCUGGGGGACAUAGGAGCGCCGGAUUGCAAAACGGACAACGGGGAAAAAGCUCGGAUGCAUGAGACGAACAUGUAUGCAAAAUGAAAUGCACAUGAUGACAUGAUAUGAAAUGCAUAUGAUGACAUGGAAAAGUGCAACAUGCAAGCAAAUGACAUGGCAACAACGAUGAAUAACUGGCAGACACCUGGCGCAUCGAAUCCGGGGUGUUACAACACUCCUCCACUAACAAGAGAUCUCGUCCCGAGAUCUUAGGACCGAGACGGAAGAGAAAAGGGAUGAGGUGAAACAAGAACUCAAGAGAAGAAACAAAGAAUGGAGAGUACUCGAGAAUAAGAAGAGAGGAACGACAAGAAUGACGAGAAUUGAGAGCUCACGGAAACAGGAUAGACUCUGAAAGCACUCGUUCUAACCGGAGUGGUUAGAAUGAGAAAAGAAACGAAUAAGACUGAAACGAUUUAGGAAGCACUCCGGCUGAAAAUGGAAGGAAAAGAACAUGAACUCCACAAGAUGGAAUGAUACUUGAUGAACUCUUGAGAGAAUGAAUUAAAUCAUGAAGAACCACCAUGAAGAUCUCCGGUGAGAAAAGGAUGAUGAGAUAGAAUGAAGGAUGAAAGAAUAAGAUGAGCCUUGCGAUGAUUUAGAUGGGGUUCCCAACAAGAUAAUUGAGAGAGCUUGGAACUCAGGAAAAGGAAAAGAUGAAACACUAGAACGGAGAAUUACUUCAUCAUGAACAAUCUUCGGAAGAAAAGAAUUGAAUCACCUCGAGGAAAUAAGAACAAGAUUUAUUGUAUGCUUAUCCCUCAUCCAAUUAAAUUGAUGACAAGCAAUGGAUUUAGCAUACUACUUAUUCUUCUUGAGAAAGGAUUGAGAAGGGAAAUAUCGCAAACUUGAGAAGGUCUUCAUGAACCACCGGUAAGAUUGAAAGAACGAAUGGAUUAAUAUGAUAACCAAGAACAAAGAAUCUGAAGGAACCACCGUAAGAAUUCAAAAUGACUGAUGAAAGAGAAUGAAUCACCGGGAAGAAUUAGAAAACAAAUAUGCUUGAGGGGAUUUAGAUGCCAGAGAACUGGAAGAACUCGAGCUGAUUAACGAACACUUGAACGAAGCACUGGGGUAAAUAGAGAACGAUAACUGGAAUGAUGGCCUCCGAAAAGAAUACGGGAAACAACUUCUGAAAUACUCCGGAUGGAUGAAAAGAAUAUCUGACAAUUGGAAUAAUUCAAGAGGAUAGCAUGAAACUAGAACCACGAAUCUUCGAGAGAACGGGCAAGAUUUAGAGGAAAAACUCUUCUUCGGUCUUCAAAUGACAACGAGAAACACCACCAAAAUAACUGAGAUACUCCGGAAGAAUGAAAAGCAAAGAGGUUGAGCCAAUAAUGAAAAUGAUUUGAAAGCAAUCUUGGAGAAGGCAUGUGACUGAUGGAAUCCAUUCUUACGUCACACUUGAAAAGAAAUAGGAAUGGCUCCGGAAUAAUUAGAAGAGUCAGGUAAGAUCCUGGAAAAAAACCUGUGGGUUAGGGCCCACUAAGGAAAACAUCGUUGGAAAGGAUGUUGAACAGAUAGAUGAUGCACCGGAACAAUUGAGAUAUUUGAAUGAGGUGACCACCUCGAACUAAUUCGAACACAGACGUAUCUCCUGAGAUGUCUUGAGCACUCCGGAAGGAUAAACUGGCGCGAGGCGAACGAGCAGGGAAAACACUUGAGCCGAGGGAAAAGAAUGUGAUCAACCCGAAAAACUUGAAUUGGGUCCACCGAAAAAGAAAAAGAGAUGAAGAAUGACGAACGAGACGAGAAUUCACCGGUUGAAAUAAUCGAGGGAAAACCUAAAGAGGCUCCGCAAGAAUGGAAUUGGCAGUCGAAAGAGACUCAUGCUCCGGAAGAAAAGGGUGGGAGGGCGGGAAAAACAAAAUCAUCUUGGAAGGGGAAAUCGACGAAUAACUUGAAGAGAAAACACCGGUUAAAAUUAUUGAGGAAAGAAAAACAAAGACUUCACACGAUUAGGAUAGAUACUCGAUUACGGACUCCGGUUCCGAGAAGAAGAACAGGGAGGGCGGGUGGGAAAAGAAAACAACUGAGGAUUGAACUCAAAGAUGAAGAGGCUCGAGUCGACUUGACGAGAAAUGCACCAGAUGAAAAGAGCUGAGGAACAACGAUCGAAAAACCAACUGCGUGAACCUAAAGAAACUUUGAAGGGGAAGAGGAAUAGUUCAAAACACCUACGUCAAGAUUCCUUACCAGAGCGACGAAGGGGAUGAGGAGUAAAAAGAAUUCCUACUCUCCGAUAUAACUAGACUCCGAAAACAGUUUUCUUCUAGACUCGACAACGGCCAAACUACACGAUCAAUCAAGGGGGGCUCCUAGGGUCGGUCGAGGCUCUGAUACCAACUUGUCACACCCAAUAUGCGACCCUAUCCAAAAGGAACUCGAAGGUCCCACUAAGGAUAGACCCGCAUAUUGGAACGCUUUUGCAAGGUGGAUAUCAUUACAUCAACAUUACAUAAUAGAUGGGGAUACAUACAUAAGGCAUACAAUGUCACACGAAUACAACAUCACAUCAUACAAGAACAACAUCUGACUACGGAUGAAUCAUAAACAGAAACUCAAACAAUAUCCACCCUACUAGCCCAGGCUACCGACCUGGAACCUAUCCCCUGAUCGUAGAAGAAGCAGAAGAAGAACUCAACGCAAGCAAGCAUCGCUCUCACGUCAAGAUCAUCGCAACCUGUACCUGCAACUGUUAUUGUAGUAAUUUGUGAGCCACGAGGACUCAGCAAUCCCAUUACCAUGGGUAUCAAGACUAGCAAAGCAUAAAGGGAAUGGAAGGGGUAAAGUGGUGAGGCUGCAGCAGCGUCUAAACAUGAUAUGGUGGCUAACAUACGCAAAUAAGAGCGAGAAGAGAAGCAAAGGAACGGUCGUCAACUAGUAAUGAUCAAGAAGUGAUCCUGAACACCUACUUACGUCAAUCAUAACCCAGAAACCGUGCUCACUUCCCGGACUCCGCCGAGAACAGACCAUCACGGCUACACACACGGUUGAUGCGUUUUAAUUCGGAUCUGGUGUCAAGUUAUCUACAACCGGACAUUAACAAAUUCCCAUCUGCCAAUAACCGCAGGCACGGCUUUCGAAAGAUUAUACCCUGCAGGGGUGUCCCAACUUAGCCCAUGACAAGCUCUUGCGAUCAACGAAGGAAUAGACCUUCUCCCAGGAAGACCCGAUCAGACUCGGAAUCCCAGUUUACAAGACAUUUCGACAAUGGUAAAACAAGACCAGCAAGACCUCCCGGCGUGCCGACAUCCUGAUAGUAGCCGCGCGUAUCUCGUCUCAGGCCAUGACCGGAUGAGCAGUACGUACGACUAGAACCAGCCCUCAAGUUUCUCCGAGGUGGCGCUGCAAGUGGCUCUAGUUCNNNNNNNNNNNNNNNNNNNNNNNNNNNNNNNNNNNNNNNNNNNNNNNNNNNNNNNNNNNNNNNNNNNNNNNNNNNNNNNNNNNNNNNNNNNNNNNNNNNNNNNNNNNNNNNNNNNNNNNNNNNNNNNNNNNNNNNNNNNNNNNNNNNNNNNNNNNNNNNNNNNNNNNNNNNNNNNNNNNNNNNNNNNUAAAGAUGACCCUCGAGAGAGCGACUCCCAAGGGAAAAGUAGGUGGGGGUGAGGCAAAUGGUAAACGUCAAUGUUGGGCCUUGCUAGAGGAGUUUUAUUCAAAGCGAACUGUCAAGGGGGUCCCAUAAAUCACCCGACCGCGUAAGGAACGCAAAAUCCGGGAACAUAACACCGGUAUGACAAAAACUAGGGCGACAAGAGUGGAACAAAACACCAGGCAAAAGGCCGAGCCUUCCACCCUUUACCAAGUAUAUAGAUGCAUUAAUAAUAUAAGAGAUAUUGUGAUAUCCCAACCAAAAUCCUGUCCACCAUGGAGAAAUCUUCAACUUCACCUGCAACUAGCAACGCUAUAAGAGGGGCUGAGCAAAAGCGGUAACAUAGCCAAUCAACGGUUUGCAUAGGAGAGGUGUCAAUGGUUAGAGGUUCAUGGCAAUAUGGGAUGGCUUGAUGAACAAGUGAUAGGUAUCGCAGCAUAGCAACAGAACGAAGCAACUAGCAUAGCAAUGAUAGUAGUGAGAUCAGGGUAGGGGUCAUCUUGCCUGAAAUCCCGCAAGGAAGAAGAAUGAGUCCAUGAAGAAGAUGAACGGAUGAAGCCGAACAAACCGUAGACGAACGAAUCCUCACGAUCGCAACGAAACAGGAACUAUCGAAAAGAAGCACACAACAAGGUAAACACACCACACAUGAACAAGACAUGAUGCACAACCAAACAUGAUGCAUGACGAAGCUACAUGAAGCUACUCAUGGCAAGAGAUGAUGCAAACAAGAGCAACACAUCAAGACAAGUUUAAAUGAGGCCGGGAACAACAUAUAACAAAUCCGGUAAGUCUUCAUAUGCAAAUUUCGAAAUGGGUCCAGAUCUGAAUAAACCUUAUGUUCAAGUUGUUAAACAGCAAGUUAAGAUGCACCAAGAUGAUCUACACGAGAUUCUAGUCAAGUUACAUAUAAAGUUCAUUAGAUUCGGAGCUACGGCGUAGAAGAUAUGAGCAAAGCAAGAUCAACAUGGCAUUGAUGCAAAAUGCACCCAAACAUCAAGCAAACACCUAAAAACAAGGAUGCAACAUGAUAAUAUGAAGCUACAUGCAAAAACAAGCAAGUUUCAUAUAGAGCACACUCAAAACGGAGCAACUGUUCAACACACACACACUAUACAAGUCAUAGCAACAAUCUGUCCAUAACAGCAAGUAGGCAUGUUACAAGCAUCAAAACAACAAGCUACAUGACCUCAACAUAAUAAUAAAAGGCAUGGGCAUGAUGUACUGGUAAAGCAUAACAAAACAUGAACACUGAGCUAUCUCCAGAAAUCACUAGAUCAUGCUCAAACACUCAUGGUAAGUUUGCAAAUAAUAACAGUUCAGACUUUAGCAGAAAUAACAUCAGGUUGCAAUGUUUAUAGCUAUCAAACAACAUGUUACAGGAACUUAUCAUGGCAAACAAAGGCAUGGCAUGAAUCUACUCAAAGCAUAGAUCAAAAGACCCUUGCUGACCAUGAGCCAAAAAGGAUCAGAAGAUAUGAUGGCACCCAUGUAAACAUGGCAAGUUGUAUUGCAGAUUCAAACAUGGCAGGAACAACAAAAUAAGUAGGCAUGUUGGUGAGCUUGUGCAACUCAAUACAGAGCAAUGCAUGGCAUGGCAAGGCAACCAACAGUAAGAAUACAUGUUUAUGAAGCUAAGCAUGGCAAUAGCAAGUUCAUAGGGUGCAUGGAACACUAGCAAAACACAUGGGAACAAGUGAACUUAAUGUUAACAGGCUGACAGCAACAUUAUUUAGCAACUUUGGAGCAAGAUUACAAUAAGCUACAGCAAGCUAUAAAUGCACUAAGGGGCAUGAAUGGAUAGAUCAUGAUAUGUAGAACAAAACAUGUUUAUAGAGCAUCUCCAGAUUAUGCAUAAAAUGAUUAGUAGCAGCAUGUUUAUAUAGCAUCACGAAAUAACAGAUUCAGCCUAGCAAAACAGCAACAGCAAGACCCCUACUUAACAAGCUCGAUUCACUCACCACAAGUCAUUGCAUUACAAGAUAAGCAUAGCAUCAUCAACAAGACAUGUUUGUGUAACCAACCAAGGCAAGAACAAGUCCAUAGCAUGCAAGGAUCAACUAUAGCAAGCUUGGCCAAAUUGAAUAACACGUAAACAAUCUGCCAGGAAACAUUUUGAAGCAAAAGUAGAGCACUCAAAUGACAUGCUAGACUACUCCAUAAUUGCAAACAAGGGAAUGAAUGGAUAGAAAAUAACCAUAUGUUCAAAACACCCUUACUGAAGUAUCUCAAAAUAUGCAUGGAUCUCUCUGUAGCAUCAAGUUUACAUGGCAUCAAAAUAACAGCAGAACAGGGACUAAAAUCAGCAAUAUCACGAAGCCUAGUUUGCAUGCUUGUGCUAGUCACCACAUUGAUCACAAAAAUACAUGGCAUAUACCCCUGGAAAGAUGGCAAGGCAUAGAUCAAAACACAUGAAGACAUCAACCUCAUAGGAUGCACACAUCAAUCAUGGCAAAAAUGACAAAUGAGCAAGUUAUAACAGUUUCAGCAGAUUAACAUCACUUAGCACUCUUACAACGAUAAUUCAGGCAUCAAGAUGAACUCAAAUGAAAAUGAUGCAAUGGAAUGAAAUGAAGUACUCGUCGAGGCGAACAAUUUGACAUAUUACACGCACGAAACGGAGCUACGAAUGCAGAGAUACAGCAUGAUGAACAUGUCAUGAUAAUGUCAAAUCUCAGGGACAUAGGGAAAGCGGGGUCAACCUCCAGUUUGCACGGUUUUCGAGGAUGGCCGGGGUUCUCGCCGGAGUAACUGUCGGAGAGGACGGGGAAGACGUCGGGGAGGCAGAUCCGUGGCCGGGGAGACCUCCUCCGACCGGAUCUCGCCGGAUCCGGCGCGGGGCGGCGAGGAGGCGCGGGGCCGGGGGCCGACCGGAGGGGCGCGGCGGCGGGGNNNNNNNNNNNNNNNNNNNNNNNNNNNNNNNNNNNNNNNNNNNNNNNNNNNNNNNNNNNNNNNNNNNNNNNNNNNNNNNNNNNNNNNNNNNNNNNNNNNNNNNNNNNNNNNNNNNNNNNNNNNNNNNNNNNNNNNNNNNNNNNNNNNNNNNNNNNNNNNNNNNNNNNNNNNNNNNNNNNNNNNNNNNNNNNNNNNNNNNNNNNNNNNNNNNNNNNNNNNNNNNNNNNNNNNNNNNNNNNNNNNNNNNNNNNNNNNNNNNNNNNNNNNNNNNNNNNNNNNNNNNNNNNNNNNNNNNNNNNNNNNNNNNNNNNNNNNNNNNNNNNNNNNNNNNNNNNNNNNNNNNNNNNNNNNNNNNNNNNNNNNNNNNNNNNNNNNNNNNNNNNNNNNNNNNNUCGCGAUGGUCCGAGCGGGCCCGCGGUGGCGCGGUGGAGAGAGGAGGGCGCGGGCCGGGUGAGGUGGCGGCGGCUGGUUGGCUGCGGGCGGCGGCGGGGCGACGUGGCAGCACCGGAUUGGCCGGGAUGACGUGUCCGGCGGACAUGUCCGGCGCGGAUGGACAUGGCCGGCGGCGCGAGGAGGACGAAGCUAGGGUUUCGGGGGGAUUAGACCGCGAAUUUUGGGGGAGGGGCUAUAUUUAUAGGUAGAGGGAUCUAGGAGAGUACAAAUGAGGUGUGGUUUUCGCCCACACGAUCGUGAUCGAACGACCGAGAGCACGGAGGGGAGUUAGGUGGGUUUUGGGCCACUUUGGAAGGGGUGUUGGGCUGCAACUCAAAGAGGGCUUUGCGGUUACCCGGUUAACCGUUGGAGUAACAAACGACCUCCAAAUGACACGAAACUUGACAGGCGGUCUACCGGUGCUAUACCAAGGCCUCUUGGCAAACCUCGGUCCAUUCCGAGAACAUUUAGCACCCACUCACGAAAAGAGAGAAGAGGGAGACGCCGGGGGACAUAGGAGCGCCGGAUUGCAAAACGGACAACGGGGAAAAAGCUUGGAUGCAUGAGAUGAACAUGUAUGCAAAAUGAAAUGCACAUGAUGACAUGAUAUGAAAUGCAUAUGAUGACAUGGCAAAGUGCAACACGCAAGCAAAUGACAUGGCAACAACGACGAAUAACUGGCAGACACCUGGCGCAUCGAAUCCGGGGUGUUACACCAACACCCCUCCAAAAUAGCCCAAUAACCCAUCUAAGUCACUUCCAUGCUCUCAGUCGUUCGAUCACGAUCGUGUGGGCAAAAACCGCACUCCAUUUGGAGCCUCCUAGCUCCCUCUACCUAUAAAUAGGUGCUCCCUUCCAAAAAUCUCGCAGCUCAAACCCUAGCAAACCUCCCUCCGCGCCGCCGGAUGUGUCCGUCCCAGGCCGGACACCCGCGCCGCCGCCGCCCGGCGAACCAGGGCGCGACACGUGGUACCUGGCCACCACGCGCCGCCCCGGCCAGCCGAGCCCGCAGNNNNNNNNNNNNNNNNNNNNNNNNNNNNNNNNNNNNNNNNNNNNNNNNNNNNNNNNNNNNNNNNNNNNNNNNNNNNNNNNNNNNNNNNNNNNNNNNNNNNNNNNNNNNNNNNNNNNNNNNNNNNNNNNNNNNNNNNNNNNNNNNNNNNNNNNNNNNNNNNNNNNNNNNNNNNNNNNNNNNNNNNNNNNNNNNNNNNNNNNNNNNNNNNNNNNNNNNNNNNNNNNNNNNNNNNNNNNNNNNNNNNNNNNNNNNNNNNNNNNNNNNNNNNNNNNNNNNNNNNNNNNNNNNNNNNNNNNNNNNNNNNNNNNNNNNNNNNNNNNNNNNNNNNNNCCCGGCCCCGCCUCCGCACCGCCGUCCGCUACCGGCUCGAGCUCCGGUCAGAUCCUGGCCGGCGCCGCCCGGAUCCGGCUGUCCCCGUCCCGCCGGCGCCUCCCCCAUAUUCUCUGGCCGCCGCUCCGCCCCGUCUUCGGCGAUCCUCGGUUCACGCGCCCGAAACCCUAGAUCUGGGAUUCGGAGGUGAAAAUCCCACCAAGUCAUUUUCCUAUCAUAAUAUGUGGCUCUGUUCAUCGCAUCAUAACUCCAUGACUGUAGCUCCGUUUCAUGCAUAUAAUAUAUCAAAAUGUUCUUCAUGAGAUGCUCUACAUUUUGUUCCAUUGUGCCCUAUCUGUUUGAGCUCAUCUUGAUGCCUAAAUCAUCAUUGGAAGAGUGCUAAAUGAUGUUUACUGCUGUCUGUCAACAGAACUUUAUGUUUUGACAUUUUUGUUGCAUUUGAUGUGUCCAUCUUAUGAGCAUGAGCUCUACAUGUGUUUUGAACUAUGAAAUGUCUUCGUUACAGAGGUGCUUGCCAUUUAUUUUUGUGAUUUGUGUGGUGACUAGAACAAGCUUGCAAACUAGGCUUCGUGAUGUUGCUGAUUCCAGUCCCUGUUCUGCUGUUAUUUUGAUGCCAUGUAAACUUGAUGCUACAGAGAGAUCCAUGCAUAUUUUGGGAUACUUCGGUAAGGAUAUUUUGAACAUAUUAUUAUGCUCUAUCCAUACAUGCCCCGGAUUGCAAUUAUGGAGUAGUCAAGUAUGUCAUUUUCUUGCUCUACUUUUGCUAUAAAAUGUUUCCUGGCUGAUUGUUUACUUGUUAUUCAAUUUUUCCAAGGUUGUUGUAGUUGAUCCUUGCAUGCUAUGAACUUGUUAUUGCCAUGUUUAGUUUCAUAAACAUGUAUUCCUGCUGGUGCUAUGCUUAUAUUGUCAUGAAAUGGCUUGUGAUGAGUGAAUCGAGCUCGCAAAGAUGCCUUCAUAAUGCUGUUAAUGCCAUGCUCUAUUUCCUGAAUCUGUUAACGAAACUUGCUAUGUUUACAUGGGUUCCAUCAUAUCUUCUGAUCAUUUUUGGCUCAUGGUUAGUAAGGUACUUUUGUUCUAUGAAUUUAGUAGUAUCAUUCCAUGCCUUAAGUUUCUAUGAUAUGUUCGUGUAGCAUGAUGUUUGCUUGCCCUAAACAUUGCUUCCUAAUGCUGUUUCUGCCAUGUUAGUAUUUUCAGUGUCUGUGCUGCUGUUAUCUUUUGCACUUUUGCCAUGUUUGUUUGAACCUGUUAGUGUGUGAAUUAGCCGUACCUUAGUGUUCAUCUUUUGUCAAGCAUCUCUUGUAGAUCACUGUCAUAUGCUUUGUUGUUAUGUUGGGGUGCUGUAGCAUAGUUCCUUGAUGUAUUUCAAGUGCUAUCAUGUUGUUAAUCGUAGAAUUGUGCCAUCCUUGUUUUGCUUGCCAUUUGCAAACCGUGCAUCCAAUUCCGGUGAUCUUUAUAACGAUUUCAACCAAAAUCAUCUCAUCUUUCCAGAGGCAUACUUGGUUUGCCAAGUUGAUGCCUUGUUCAUCCUUUUUCCUCCAGGAGCACACAUACGCAUUGCAUAUCACAUCUCGCAUAACAUGUCAUGUAUUGCAUCAUGUUGCUUGUGCAUUGCACCGUGUUUGAUUGUUGUGCCAUUGCUUGUGUUCUUGCCUUGGGUAGAGUCGGGAGACGAGUACGUGCAUGAGGAACUAGUUGAGUACGCUAACAAGGAUCAAGCUUUUGACAACUCUGAGAACCUUGCAGGCAAGAUGACCAUACCCUCGAUAUCACUUCUAUCUUUGCUUUUCUAGUUGCUCGCUCUAUCACUAUGGUUGCUCUACCUACCACUUGUUUAUCAUGCCUCCCAUAUUGCCAUGUCAAGCCUCUAACCAUCCUGUCCUAGCAAACCGUUGUUUGGCUAUGUCACCACUUUUGCUCAGCCCCUCUUAUAGCCUUGCUAAUUGCAGGUGAAGAUGAAGUUUGUUCUUGGUUGGAACAUGGAUAUUUUGGGAUAUCAGAAUAUCUCUUGUUUAAUUAAUGCACCUAUAUACUUGGUAAACGGUGGAAGGCUCGGCUUUAUGCCUCUUGUCUUGUUCCACUCUUGCCGCCCUAGUUUCCGUCAUACCGGUGUUAUGUUCCUUGAUUUUGCGUUCCUUACGCGGUUGGGUGAUUUAUGGGACCCCCUUGACAGUUCGCUUUGAAUAAAACUCCUCCAGCAAGGCCCAACCUUGGUUUUACCGUUUGCCACCUAAGCCUUUUUCCCUUGGGUUUUCGCGAGCCCGAGGGUCAUCUUUAUUUUAACCCCCGGGCCAGUGCUCAUUCGAGUGCUGGCCCAACCUGGGCGAUGUCCGGCGCCCCCUGGGCAACCAGGGUCUAUGCCAACCCGACGUCUUGCCCAUCCGGUGUGCCCUGAGAACGAGAUACGUGCGACUCCUAUCGGGAUUUGUCGGCACAUCGGGUGGCUUUGCUGGUCUUGUUUUACCAUUAUCGAAAUGUCUUGUAAACCGGGAUUCCGAGACUGAUCGGGUCUUCCUGGGAGAAGGUAUAUCCUUCGUUGACCGUGAGAGCUUGUGAUGGGCUAAGUUGGGACACCCCUGCAGGGUAUUAUAUUUUGAAAGCCGUGCCCGCGGUUAUGUGGCAGACGGGAAUUUGUUAACGUCUGGUUGUAGAGAACUUGACACUUGACUUCUUUAAAAUGCAUCAACCGCGUGUGUAGCCGUGAUGGUCUCUUCUCGGCGGAGUCCGGGAAGUGAACACGGUUUGAGUUAUGUAUGAACGUAAGUAGUUUCAGAAUCACUUCUUGAUCACUUCUAGCUUCUUGACCAAUGCGUUGCUUCUCUUCUCGCUCUCACUUACGUAUGUUAGACACCAUACAUGCUUAGUGCUUGUUGUAGCUCCACCACCUUACCCCUUUCCUACCCAUGAGCUUAAAUAGUCUUGAUCUCGCGGGUGUGAGAUUGUUGAGUCCCUGUGACUCACAGAUCUACCAAAACAGAUGCAGGUGCCGAGGAUACCAGUGCAUGUGGCGCAAUCGAGCUCAAGUGGGAGCUUGACGAGGACCUUGGUCGUUACUAUGUUUCGUUUCCUGAUGAUCAGUAGUGGAGCCCAGUUGGGACGAUCGGGGAUCUAGCAUUUGGGUUUAUCUUCUUUUCAUUUGAAUUUGACCGUAGUUGGUCUAUGAGUGUAUCUUGAAUGAUGUAUGGAUUAAUUUAUGUAUUCUGUGAAGUGGCGAUUGUAAGCCAACUCUCUUUAUCCCAUUCUUGUUCAUUACAUGGGAUUGUGUGAAGAUGAACCUUCUUGCGACAAAACCUACAAUGCGGUUAUGCCUCUAAGUCGUGCCUCGACACGUGAGAGAUAUAGCCGCAUCGUGGGCGUUUCAAGCCUCCACCUGCGACUGUUCAUCCACGGGCUUCUGUUCAUCUAGCCUGCACCGCGUGCUCCUCCACCUGCUACUGUUCAACCAGCCCUCUCCAUGGGGUCCUAUUCAACCACCCCUCCAUGGCCGGGCUACUGUUCAUCCAGCCCUCUACCAGCUACUGUUCAACCAGCCCCAACCAUCCACGCCGUCCUGUUCAUCCAACCAUCCAUGGGGUCCUGUUCAUCCACCCCAACCGGCUCGAUUGAGGUUCUGUUCAUCCAGAGGCAACACCACAGGGUCCUGUUCAUCCACCCCCACCAGGAACUGUUCAUCCAAACCCCCCCAACAAUGUUCACUGUUCAUCAAGGGAAGGAGGCAGUAGGGUUUGAUCGGCUUCAGUUAGCAGCAGUAGCGAAGGAAUCACUCGGGUUCAGUUAACAGCAAGGGAUCGGUUGCUCGGGUUCAGUAAAGUAGCUAGUGCAAUCACUGGGGUUCAGUUAGAGCCCAAGGCCUCACUCGGAUUCAGUUAGAGCCCAACACCUCGCACACACGCGCGUACAUGUACGAGAGAAACACACAUCGUUCGGCCCCCGACCACCCACCGUAACCGGGACUCCUCAAAAUUUUCCUCGCCCUCGCUUCUACCACGGUUUUUUCUGUCAUGGACGGCCCAAAGAAUGUCAUGCAACUGCGUCUCCGGCCCGCCCAGGAUGAAAAGCCCAUUUUCUGUCAUGAUUUUUUUCAUAGAAGUAGGAGCCCACCACAUCUAUGAUUAUACCGGGUUUGUCACAGUUACCAUCAUAGAAGUGUCAUAAGCAUGACAGAAAAAAAUUCGUUCGACCGAAAAUGUCACGGAUGUGUCUUCAUUUUGUAGUGAACCACUGCAACGUGCAUCCAUCAUGGAGGAGCGCUGCACCCUGAUGGGUGCGGUCAUGGAAAAGGUUCGGUCCGCGAAGAACAGACUGACCGAAUUCUUCAACAUCCUAUUGAUGUAAUACUCUUUACAAGUUUUUUUGUAUCUAUAUAUGUGUUAGGCGAAACCCAUGUGUAGACAGUAGCCCCUGAGACUAUGUCCGGAUUAGGACAAUCCGGACAGAGGUUCAAAACAGGUUGAUAACGUGUCGUAUAUAUUGUUGAACAGACUUUGGUGCUAGCGGCUACUGCCCAGGCCGCAAAGAUAGCCAAGCUCAAUCGAAAGCUUCGGCUAUCCGAUGAGGAACUCGACCGCAUCAACAAGCAGUUUAAUGAAACCCAAGGUAUGCGGAAGUACGACAUACCUGAAAGUUAUAUGUGUAUUAGUAGUUUAAUACUGACUAAAAAAUUUAUGAAGUACUCACAGUUGGCGCAGCCGAGGUCGAAUCCCUCAAGAGCACCCUCACUGAAGCCCAGAAGGAGGCAGAGGUGAGCAAAGCAGCCGCGGACAAAGCGGCCAAGGAGUUGGAGCUGGAGUAGACCGCCCGCCGGAGACAUGAGGCACGGGUGGAGGAUGUCGAACAGGAGCUCAAGGACGCCAUCGCCAAGGGCGAGUUCCUGGAGCAAAAGAGUUUAGAGCAGGCCUCCGAGCUCACCAAAGCGCGAAAGAAGCCCGGGUUGAAGCCCAGGGUGCUCGCCAGGAGAUCCAAGAGGCGAGGAAGAUAGCGGUUGGUAAGGCCUUUAUAAUGCAGAGUAGAUUUACUUGUAAGAGAUAUAUUUUGCUGACCCGAGUUUGGAGUUCUCCAGGUGGCUUUGCGGAACUGCUGAGGAGUAUUGCGGAUGCCGCCGAAUUCUUCCGAGCCAAGGAGGGGAGCUCAACAGAGAAGCUGUUCUGGUCGUAGUACCUUGCGCCAGAACAUCCAGUGCCCCUUAGUGACCAGCUCAAACAGGUGUCUGAGCUGUACAGGGUAGCCGGACAGGCCAUGAAGGAUGUAAUAGUCCGUUUAUGGCCAACCGAGUCCAUACCUAGCAGCCACUUCGGAAUUGUGAAGCGGCUGGUGGAUGCGCUUCCCUGGAUCGAUGCCCUCAAGCGAUCGUCUUGUAGAGAAGGUGCCCAGAUGGCCUUUGCCCGUGUCAAGGUUCAGUGGGCAAAGAUGAAGGCCACCAAGAUCUCCACCGCAGGGCCACCUGAGGGCAGGGAGCACUGGCGGCGGGGGAAGUACUUUGAUGAGGUCCUCGAGGGAGCUCGCAUUGUAGAGGGCCAGUUCUCAAAGGACAUCAUAUUUGAAUAGUUGAGUCUAGUUUGUAAGAGUCGUGUAAUGAAAAUAAUAGCUAUGCUUACACUUCAUGAUAAGUUUAUCCUCCUGUUUGGCCGUUUAUAUAUCUAAAAGUUUACUAGUCGUCAGCUUCAGCCCGCACGUAAAUAUUACAGGGGUGUUCAGGAACGCAUGACCGCACUUUAUCCAACGUCUUGGUCCGAUGUAGGAGGUGUCUUGCAAGGUGAACUAGGUAAUCAGACUAUGCGGCUUUAGUACUUUCACUUAGCCAUAAGAGUCCAUUGGUGGCGCUAAGUACUAGCCCCUUGUUUGCAUGAGCGGUAGUCCGGAGUACGACGGCUUUGCAACGCGGCUGGUCGAAGCCCAACCCCUCGUAUAACAUGGCAUAAAUCGUGAACGAUUUGUAGUGUAACACUAAGUCACCGGAUCACUGACCCGCUCUCACUUAUCAUAACAGUCAGUUUUCGGCUUUCUCUACUACGGUACUUGACCGGACGAACCAGAAGUACAAUCGCAGUAGUUCUCCCUUUACAACCUUAGCCGAACUUGCAGAAUGUAAGGUGGCAAACACAGGAGCCGGGCAACCCAACUAUAGACCAAAGACAUGAUUCGAAGCCGAUGCAUAUAAUGCAAUAUCCGGGACACCGAAGAGUUCCCUAGAGGUGUUCGGACUUAAGAGUUUGCGGGGCCGAGUACAUCCCCUGGUGUGACGGCGAUAUCGAGCCACGUAUAUGAAUCAAACGUAAGGAGGGAACACAAAUGGCAAGAAAAUACAAGAAUCAAACCAAAAAGGUGAUAAUCAUCUGUUUCCUUUAUAUCCGUAUUGAUACGUUGAGGCGUGUUGCAAAUGCCAUUCAAUAUUAAGGCCAUGUUACAUGCCGAAAAAUAAAAGUUAUACAUAAGGGAAAGUCUAACACACGGCCUAAAGAUCAAAGUUUGAGAAACUCCUGUGAUGCCCUGUCGCACGUCUGCACCAUUUCUCCUUAGUAAUAAGUCCUUUGGUAGGAGUAUAUGAUGGUGGGGAAGCGCUAGCCUCAAAAGGAUAUCCUGCAACAACCAUCUAGCAAGUAGGGCUCUUGAUGAACCUGCAACGAGAAAAAAAAGAUGUAUACGGUCCUGACGGGGUCAAGCCGUACAAUGGACUUUCUCCGCAGUGUGCCUCCGUUGCCGCCCAGAGUAUUUUUAGUGCGUAAUUAUGUACGCACGGUACAACUGCCGCAAUAUGAUAGGGCAAUCGGCGGAGGCCGAACUGCUAAUCAAAGUCUGGAUCCAUUGAUUUAUCACUAUUAUGCGUGGUCUGGACUCGUUUCGAUAUGUCAUUGGUAUUAUUGGCCGGUGAACUAUUCGGCUUGAUAAGGCCGCCAGACACUUCGGCUGAAAGGGCCGCUGUGUGCUCUUCAGUGCGGAGGAAGCGCUCCAUGUUACCAUUGACUGUAAUAACACCAGAAGUUCCUGGCAUCUUAAGCUUUGAGUAGGCGUAGUGCGGGACUGCAUUAAAACGGGCGAAAGCAGUUCGUCCGAGAAGUGCAUGGUAGCCACUGCGGGAAAGGGACGAUGUCGAAGAUCAAUUCUUUGUUGCGAUAGUUGUCUGGGAGCUGAAUACUACCUUCAGCGUCUGUGAGCCCGUACAACGGGCCUCCACGCCCGGUAUCACACCUUUAACGGUAGUGUUGCUAGGCUUGAUUCUAGAUGGGUCAAUGCCCAUCUUGUGGACGGUCUCUUGAUAGAUCAAGUUAAGAUAGCUGCCUCCGUCCAUGAGGACUCUAGUGAGGUGGUAUCCGUCAAUAAUUGGAUCGAGUACCAGGGCGGCCGAACCCCCAUGACGGAUACUGGCCGGGUGGUCCCUGCGAUCGAAGGUGAUCGGACAGGCUGACGAUGGGUUGAACUUGGAGGCGACAGGCUCUAUGGUGUAGACGUCCCAUAGUGCGCGCUUACGCUCCUUUUUGGGAAUGUGAGUGACAUAGAUGAUGUUCACUGUCUUUACCUCGGGGGGAAACUGCUUCUGACCCCCGGUGUUCGGCUGACGGGGCUCAUCAUCAUCUUCGCUUGGGGAUUCCUUUCCCUUCUUUUUAGUAUUUAUCUUACUGGCCUAUUUGAACACCCAAUAAUUCCGUUUGGUGUGGUUCGCAGGCUUAUCGGGUAUGCCAUGAAUCUGACAUGGCCUCUCAAGGAUUUUAUCCAACCUAGAUAGCCCGUCCUUGUUACCUUUGAAAUAUUUCUUCCGCUAACCAGACUUAGGGCUGCUGAAUCCGGCAUUGACUGCCAUAUCGUCUGCGUCGUCAUUGUUGUUCCGACAUUUGUUUUUAUUGCGGCGAGGUUUACCAUUGCCGUCCUGCACCUCAGAAGUGCCAGUGUCUCCCGAGUUGUUGCUUCUACAAGCCAACAAGCUGUCUUUGCCCGCACAAAAGCAGGUCACAAGUGCCGUUAAGGCUGCCAUGGUCUUCGGAUUUUCCUGCCCGAGGUGUUGGGUGAGCCAUUCAUCAUGGAUGCUGUGUUUAAAGGCCGCUAAGGCUUCGGCAUCCAAAUAGUCCACGAUCUAGUUCUUUUUAGUUAAGAACCGAUUCCAAAGUUUGUGAGCUAAUUCGCCUGGCUGCUGAAUUAUGUGACUCAAGUCAUCAGCAUCCGGUGGCCAGACAUAAGUGCCCUGAAAGUUGGCCCAAAAAUCAUCUUCCAAUUCUUCCCAGGUUCCUGUUGGAAAUAUGCCCUAGAGGCAAUAAUAAAAGUAUUAUUAUAUUUCAAUGUUCAUGAUAAAUGUCUUUUAUUCAUGCUAUAACUAUAUUAUCCGGAAAUCGUAAUACACGUGUGAAUACUUAGACCACAAUAUGUCCCUGGUGAGCCUCUAGUUGACCAGCUCGUUGUGAUCAACAGAUAGUCAUGGUUUCCUGACUAUGGACAUUGGAUGUCGUUGAUAACGGGAUCACAUCAUUAGGAGAAUGAUGUGAUGGACAAGACCCAAUCCUAAGCAUAGCAUAAAAGAUCGUGUAGUUCGUUUUGCUAUAGCUUUGCCAGUGUCAAGUAUCUCUUCCUUCGACCAUGAGAUCGUGUAACUCCCGGAUACCGUAAGAGUGCCUUGGGUGUAUCAAACGUCACAACGUAACUGGGUGACUAUAAAGGUACAUUACAGGUAUCUCCAAAAGUAUCUGUUGGGUUGACACGGAUCGAGACUGGGAUUUGUCACUCCGUAUGACGGAGAGGUAUCUCUGGGCCCACUCGGUAACGCAUCAUCAUAAUGAGCUCAAUGUGACCAAGGUGUUGGACACGGGAUCAUGCAUUACGGUACGAGUAAAGUGACUUGCCGGUAACGAGACUGAACAAGGUAUUGGGAUACCGACGAUCGAGUCUCGGGCAAGUAACGUACCGAUUGACAAAGGGAAUUGCAUACAGGGUUUGAUCGAAUCCUCGACAUAGUGGUUCAUCCGAUGACAACAUCGAGGAGCAUGUGGGAGCCAUCAUGGGUAUCCAGAUCCCGCUGUUGGUUAUUGACUGAGAGCGUCUCGGUCAUGUCUGCAUGUCUCCCGAACCCGUAGGGUCUACACACUUAAGGUUCGGUGACGCUAGGGUUAUUAGGAAGACUAGUAUGUGACUACCGAAUGUUGUUCGGAGUCCCGGAUGGGAUCCUGGACGUCACGAGGAGAUCCGGAAGGGUCCGGAGGUAAAGAUUUAUAUAUGGGAAGUUGUCAAACGGACACCGGGAAGUUUCGGGGUCAUAUCGGUAUUGUACCGGGGCCACCGGAAGGGUUCCGGGGGUCCACCGGGAGGGGCCACCCCUCCCGGGGGGCCACAUGGGCUGCGUGGGGCAGGGAGCCAGCCCCUGGUGGGCUGGCCGCACCCCCCUCCCUUGGGCCCAUGCGCCUAGGGUUGAGGGGGAACCCUAGAGGGGGCGCCCCCCUUGGCUUGGGGGGCAAGCCACCCUCUCCCCUCUCCCCUAGGCCGCCGCACCCCCCCCUAGAUGGGUUCUAGGGGGCCGGCCCCCUUCUCCCUUCCCCCUAUAAAUAGAGGGGUGAGGGGAGGGCAGCCGUACCACCCUCCAAGGCGCAGCCCUCCCCUCCCCAACACCUCUCCUCCUCCGUUGUGUGCUUGGCGAAGCCCUGUCGGAGUACUGCCUCUCCACCAUCACCACGCCGUCGUGCUGCCGGUGGAGCUGUCUUCCUCAACCUCUCCUUUCCCCUUGCUGGAUCAAGAAGGAGGAGACGUCUCUCGUCCCGUACGUGUGUUGAACGCGGAGGUGCUGUCCGUUCAGCACUUGGUCAUCGGUGAUUCGAAUCACGUCGAGUACGACUACAUCAUCACCUUGCAAGCUUCCGCACGCGAUCUACAAGUGGUAUGUAGAUGCAAACUCUCUCCCUUGACUCGUUGCUUAGAUGAACUCAUAGAUGGAUCUUGGUGAAACCGUAGGAAAAAUUUUAAUUUUCUGCAACGUUCCCCAACAGUGGUAUCAGAGCUAGGUCUAUGCGUAGUUCUCUUUGCACGAGUAGAACACAAUUUUGUUGUGGGCGUGGAUUUUGUCAUCUUACUUGCCUCUACUAGUCUUUUCUUGCUCAAACGGUAUUGUGGGAUGAAGCGGCCCGGACCAACCUUACACGUACGCUUACGUGAGACCGGUUCCACCGACUGACAUGCACUAGUUGCAUAAGGUGGCUGGCGGGUGUCUGUCUCUCCCACUUUAGUUGGAGCGGAAUCGAUGAACAGGGCCCUUAUGAAGGGUAAAUAGAAGUUGACAAAAUCACGUUGUGGUAAUUCGUAGGUAAGAAAACGUUCUUGCUAGAACCCAAUUGCAGCCACGUAAAAGAUGCAACAACAAUUAGAGAACAUCUAACUUGUUUUUGCAGCGAUUGAUCAUGUGAUGUGAUAUGGCCAGAAGUUGUGAUGAAUGAUGAAUUGUGAUGUAUGAGAUCAUGUUCUUUGUAAUAGGAUUCACGACUUGCAUGUCGAUGAGUAUGACAACCGGCAGGAGCCAUAGGAGUUGUCUUUAUUUUUUGUAUGACCUGCGUGUCAUUGUAUAACGUCAUGUAAACUACUUUACUUUAUUGCUAAACGUUAGUCAUAGAAGUAGAAGUAGUCGUUGGCGUGACAACUUCAUGAAGACACGAUGAUGGAGAUCAUGAUGAUGGAGAUCAUGGUGUCAAGCCGGUGACAAGAUGAUCAUGGAGCCCCGAAGAUGAAGAUCAAUGGAGCUAUAUGAUAUUGGCCAUAUCAUGUCACAACUAUAUAAUUGCAUGUGAUUUUUAUUAUGUUUUGCAUCUUGUUUACUUAGGACGACGGUAGUAAAUAAGAUGAUCCCUUAUAAAAUUUUAAGAAGUGUUCUCCCCUAACUGUGCACCGUUGCUACAGUUCGUCGCUUCUAAGCACCACGUGAUGAUCGGGUGUGAUGGAUUCUUACGUUCACAUACAACGGGUGUAAGACAGUUUUACACAGCGAAAACACUUAGGGUUAACUUGACGAGCCUAGCAUGUGCAGACAUGGCCUCGGAACACGGAGACCGAAAGGUCGAACACGAAUCGUAUGGAAGAUACGAUCAACAUGAGAAUGUUCACCGACAAUGACUAGUCCGUCUCACGUGAUGAUCGGACACGGGCUAGUCGACUCGGAUCGUGUAACACUUAGAUGCUAGAGGGAUGUCUAAUCUAAGUGGGAGUUCAUAAUUUGAUUAGAACUUUAUUAUCAUGAACUUAGUCUAAAACCUUUGCAAAUAUGUCUUGUAGAUCAAUGGCCAACGCUAAUGUCAACAUGAACUUCAACGCGUUCCUAGAGAAAACCAAGCUGAAAGAUGAUGGCAGCAACUAUACGGACUGGGUCCGAAACCUGAGGAUCAUCCUCAUAGCUACCAGGAAACAAUAUGUCCUAGAAGGACCGCUAGGUGACGCUCCCGUCCCAGAGAACCAAGACAUUAUGAAUGCUUGGCAGUCUCGUGCUGAUGAUUACUCCCUCGUUCAGUGCGGCAUGCUUUACAGCUUAGAACCGGGGCUCCAAAAACGUUUUGAGCACCACGGAGCAUAUGAGAUGUUCGAAGAGCUGAAACUAGUUUUUCAAGCUCAUGCUCGGGUCGAGAGAUAUGAUGUCUCCGACAAAUUCUACAGUUGUAAGAUGGAGGAAAAUAGUUCUGUCAGUGAGCACAUCCUGAAGCUGUCUGGGUUGCACAACCGUAUGACCCAGCUGAACAUUAACCUCCCAGAUGAGGCGGUCAUUGACAGAAUCCUCCAGUCGCUCCCACCAAGCUACAAGAGCUUUGUGAUGAACUACAACAUGCAGGGGAUGGAAAAGACCAUUCCUGAAGUGUUCUCGAUGCUGAAGUCAGCAGAGGCUGAAAUCAAGAAAGAACAUCAAGUGUUGAUGGUGAAUAAGACCACUAAGUUCAAGAAGGGCAAGGGUAAGAAGAACUUCAAGAAGGACGGCAAAGAUGUUGCCGCGCCUGGUAAGCCAGUUACCGGGAAGAAGUCAAAGAAUGGACCUAAGCCUGAGACUGAGUGCUUUUAUUGCAAGGGGAAGGGUCACUGGAAGCGGAACUGCCCCAAAUACUUAGCGAAUAAGAAGGCCGGCAACACCAAAGGUAUAUUUGAUAUACAUGUGAUUGAUGUGUACCUUACCAGUACUCGUAGUAACUCCUGGGUAUUUGAUACCGGUGCCGUUGCUCAUAUUUGUAACUCACAGCAGGAGCUGCGGAAUAAACGGAGACUGGCGAAGGACGAGGUGACGAUGCGCGUCGGGAAUGGUUCCAGAGUCGAUGUGAUCGCCGUCGGCACGCUGCCUCUACAUUUACCUACGGGAUUAGUUUUGAACCUUAAUAAUUGUUAUUUAGUGCCAAGUUUGAGCAUGAACAUUGUAUCUGGAUCUUGUUUAAUACGAGAUGGCUACUCAUUUAAGUCAGAGAAUAAUGGUUGUUCGAUUUAUAUGAGAGAUAUGUUUUAUGGUCAUGCUCCGAUGGUCAAUGGUUUAUUCUUAAUGAAUCUCGAGCGUAAUAUUACACAUGUUCACAGUGUAGAUGCCAAAAGAUUUAAAGUUGAUAACGAUAGUCCCACAUACUUGUGGCACUGCCGCCUUGGUCACAUUGGUGUCAAGCGCAUGAAGAAGCUCCAUGCCGAUGGACUUUUAGAGUCUCUUGAUUAUGAGUCGUUUGACACGUGCGAACCAUGCCUUGUGGGCAAAAUGACCAAGACUCCGUUCUCCGGAACAAUGGAGCGAGCGACCAACUUGUUGGAAAUCAUACAUACCGAUGUGUGCGGUCCAAUGAGCGUUGAGGCUCGCGGAGGAUAUCGUUAUGUUCUCACUCUCACUGAUGACUUGAGUAGAUAUGGGUAUGUCUACUUAAUGAAACACAAGUCUGAGACCUUUGAAAAGUUCAAGGAAUUUCAGAAUGAGGUAGAGAAUCAACGUGACCGAAAGAUAAAAUUCUUACGAUCGGAUCGUGGAGGAGAAUACUUAAGUCACGAAUUUGGUACACACUUAAGGAAAUGUGGAAUCGUUUCACAACUCACGCCGCCUGGAACACCUCAGCGAAACGGUGUGUCCGAACGUCGUAAUCGCACCCUAUUGGAUAUGGUGCGGUCUAUGAUGUCUCUUACCGAUUUACCGCUAUCUUUUUGGGGAUACGCUCUAGAGACAGCUACAUUCACUUUAAAUAGGGCACCGUCUAAAUCCGUUGAGACGACACCAUAUGAAUUAUGGUUUGGAAAGAAACCUAAGCUGUCGUUUCUAAAAGUUUGGGGAUGCGAUGCUUAUGUCAAGAAACUCCAACCUGAAAAGCUCGAACCCAAGUCGGAAAAAUGCGUAUUCAUAGGAUACCCUAAGGAAACUGUAGGGUAUACCUUCUACUUAAGAUCCGAAGGCAAGAUCUUUGUUGCCAAGAACGGAUGCUUUCUGGAAAAAGAGUUUCUCUCGAAAGAAGUAAGUGGGAGGAAAGUAGAACUCGUUGAAGUACUACCUCUUGAGCGGGAAAGUGGCGCAGCGCAGGAAACCAUUCCUGUGAUGCCCACACCAACUGAAGAGGAAAACAAUGAUGAUGAUCAAGGUACUUCGGAUCAAGUUACUGCUGAACUUCGUAGGUCCACAAGGACACGUUCCGCACCAGAGUGGUACGGCAACCCUGUCCUGGAAAUCAUGUUGUUAGACAACAAUGAACCUUCGAACUAUGAAGAAGCGAUGGCGGGCCCGGAUUCCAACAAAUGGCUUGAAGCCAUGAAAUCCGAGAUAGAAUCCAUGUAUGAAAACAAAGUAUGGACUUUGACAGACUUGCCCAAUGAUCGGCGAGCGAUAGAAAACAAAUGGAUUUUUAAGAAGAAGACGGACGCGGAUGGAAAUGUUACCAUCUAUAAGGCUCGACUUGUCGCUAAGGGUUAUCGACAAGUUCAAGGGAUUGACUACGAUGAGACUUUCUCUCCCAUAGCGAAGCUGAAGUCCGUCCGAAUCAUGUUAGCAAUUGCCGCAUACUAUGAUUAUGAGAUAUGGCAGAUGGACGUCAAAACAGCAUUCCUUAACGGGCAUCUUAAGGAAGAACUGUAUAUGAUGCAGCAAGAAGGUUUUGUCGAUCCUCGGAACGCUAACAAAGUAUGCAAGCUCCAGCGAUCCAUUUAUGGACUGGUGCAAGCAUCUCGGAGUUGGAACAUUCGCUUUGAUGAGAUGAUCAAAGCGUUUGGGUUUAUGCAAACUUAUGGAGAAGCCUGCGUUUACAAGAAAGUGAGUGGGAGCUCUGUAGCAUUUCUCAUAUUAUAUGUAGAUGACAUACUCUUGAUGGGAAAUAAUAUAGAAUUUCUGGACAGCAUUAAGGCCUACUUGAAUAAGUGUUUUUCAAUGAAGGACCUUGGAGAAGCUGCUUAUAUAUUAGGCAUCAAGAUCUAUAGAGAUAGAUCGAGACGCCUCAUAGGUCUUUCACAAAGCACAUACCUUGAUAAGAUUUUGAAGAGGUUCAAAAUGGAUCAGUCCAAGAAGGGGUUCUUGCCUAUGUUACAAGGUGUGAGAUUGAGCUCGGCUCAGUCACCGACCACGGCAAAAGAUAAAGAAGAGAUGAGUGUCAUCCCCUAUGCUUCAGCCAUAGGAUCUAUUAUGUAUGCCAUGCUGUGUACCAGACCCGAUGUAAACCUUGCCGUAAGUUUGGUAGCAAGAUACCAAAGUAAUCCCGGCAAGGAACACUGGACAACGGUCAAGAAUAUCCUGAAGUACCUGAAAAGGACGAAGGACAUGUUUCUCGUUUAUGGAAGAGACGAAGAGCUCGUCGUAAAGGGCUACGUCGACGCUAGCUUCGACUCAGAUCUGGAUGACUCUAAGUCACAAACCGGAUACGUGUAUAUGUUGAAUGGUGGAGCAGUAAGCUGGUGCAGCUGCAAGCAGAGCGUCGUGGCGGGAUCUACGUGUGAAGCGGAGUACAUGGCAGCCUCGGAGGCAGCGCAUGAAGCGAUUUGGGUGAAGGAGUUCAUCACCGACCUAGGAGUCAUAACCAAUGCGUCGGGGCCGAUCAAACUCUUCUGUGACAACACUGGAGCUAUUGCCCUUGCCAAGGAGCCCAGGUUUCACAAGAAGACCAGGCACAUCAAGCGUCGUUUCAACUCCAUCCGUGAAAAUGUUCAAGAUGGAGACAUAGAGAUUUGCAAAGUGCACACGGAUCUGAAUGUCGCAGAUCCGCUGACUAAACCUCUCUCGCGUGCAAAACAUGAUCAACACCAGAACUCUAUGGGUGUUCGAUUCAUCACAAUGUAACUAGAUUGGUGACUCUAGUGCAAGUGGGAGACUGUUGGAAAUAUGCCCUAGAGGCAAUAAUAAAAGUAUUAUUAUAUUUCAAUGUUCAUGAUAAAUGUCUUUUAUUCAUGCUAUAACUGUAUUAUCCGGAAAUCGUAAUACACGUGUGAAUACUUAGACCACAAUAUGUCCCUGGUGAGCCUCUAGUUGACCAGCUCGUUGUGAUCAACAGAUAGUCAUGGUUUCCUGACUAUGGACAUUGGAUGUCGUUGAUAAUGGGAUCACAUCAUUAGGAGACUGAUGUGAUGGACAAGACCCAAUCCUAAGCAUAGCAUAAAAGAUCGUGUAGUUCGUUUUGCUAUAGCUUUGCCAGUGUCAAGUAUCUCUUCCUUCGACCAUGAGAUCGUGUAACUCCCGGAUACCGUAAGAGUGCCUUGGGUGUAUCAAACAUCACAACGUAACUGGGUGACUAUAAAGGUGCAUUACAGGUAUCUCCGAAAGUAUCUGUUGGGUUGACACGGAUCGAGACUGGGAUUUGUCACUCCGUAUGACGGAGAGGUAUCUCUGGGCCCACUCGGUAAUGCAUCAUCAUAAUGAGCUCAAUGUGACCAAGGUGUUGGACACGGGAUCAUGCAUUACGGUACGAGUAAAGUGACUUGCCGGUAACGAGACUGAACAAGGUAUUGGGAUACCGACGACCGAGUCUCGGGCAAGUAACGUACCGAUUGACAAAGGGAAUUGCAUACAGGGUUUGAUCGAAUCCUCGACAUAGUGGUUCAUCCGAUGACAACAUCGAGGAGCAUGUGGGAGCCAUCAUGGGUAUCCAGAUCACGCUGUUGGUUAUUGACUGAGAGCGUCUUGGUCAUGUCUGCAUGUCUCCCGAAUCCGUAGGGUCUACACAAUUAAGGUUCGGUGACGGUAGGGUUAUUAGGAAGACUAGUAUGUGACUACCGAAUGUUGUUCGGAGUCCCGUAUGGGAUCCUGGACGUCACGAGGAGAUCCAGAAGGGUCCGGAGGUAAAGAUUUAUAUAUGGGAAGUUGUCAAACGGACACCGGGAAGUUUCGGGGUCAUACCGGUAUUGUACCGGGGCCACCGGAAGGGUUCCGAGGGUCCACCGGGAGGGGCCACCCCUCCCGGGGGGCCACAUGGGCUGCGUGGGGCAGGGAGCCAGCCCCUGGUGGGCUGGCCGCACCCCCCUCCCUUGGGCCCAUGCGCCUAGGGUUGANNNNNNNNNNNNNNNNNNNNNNNNNNNNNNNNNNNNNNNNNNNNNNNNNNNNNNNNNNNNNNNNNNNNNNNNNNNNNNNNNNNNNNNNNNNNNNNNNNNNNNNNNNNNNNNNNNNNNNNNNNNNNNNNNNNNNNNNNNNNNNNNNNNNNNNNNNNNNNNNNNNNNNNNNNNNNNNNNNNNNNNNNNNNNNNNNNNNNNNNNNNNNNNNNNNNNNNNNNNNNNNNNNNNNNNNNNNNNNNNNNNNNNNNNNNNNNNNNNNNNNNNNNNNNNNNNNNNNNNNNNNNNNNNNNNNNNNNNNNNNNNNNNNNNNNNNNNNNNNNNNNNNNNNNNNCCCCCCUAGAUGGGUUCUAGGGGGCCGGCCCCCUUCUCCCUCCCCCCUAUAAAUAGAGGGGUGAGGGGAGGGCAGCCGGACCACCCUCCAAGGCGCAGCCCUCCCCUCCCCAACACCUCUCCUCCUCCGUUGUGUGCUUGGCGAAGCCCUGUCGGAGUACUGCCUCUCCACCAUCACCACGCCGUCGUGCUGCCGGUGGAGCUGUCUUCCUCAACCUCUCCUUUCCCCUUGCUGGAUCAAGAAGGAGGAGACGUCUCUCGUCCCGUAUGUGUGUUGAACGCGGAGGUGCUGUCCGUUCAGCACUUGGUCAUCGGUGAUUCGAAUCACGUCGAGUACGACUACAUAAUCACCUUGCAAGCUUCCGCACGCGAUCUACAAGUGGUAUGUAGAUGCAAACUCUCUCCCUUGACUCGUUGCUUAGAUGAACUCAUAGAUGGAUCUUGGUGAAACCGUAGGAAAAUUUUUAAUUUUCUGCAACGUUCUCCAACAGUUCCAAUGGAGUUUUCUGGGAGGCUAUUUAGCCAGUUUCGUGCUGGUCCUUUCAGGUUUAGAGGAAGAUAUUUGACGGAGUGGAUGUCAUCUCCUCAAGCCAUGUGAAUGUGGACAAGAAAAUCUUCAAUCCAGACCGCAGGAUCUGUCGUUCCAUCGUACUAUUUGAUGUUUACGGGUUUAAACCCUUCCGGAUAUUGGUGUUCCAUGACCUCAUCGGUGAAGCACAAAGGGUGUGCGGCCCCUCUAUAUCGUGCAAUAUCGCAGCGGAGACCGGCUGACAUCUGAGUUCAGUUCUGAUUCUGAGUAUAGUAAUAGUCGUAUACGCCGGGCUUCAUAGCCAUUGUAUCGCGCCGGGGCACGACCCCUUGAUCCGUAGAUUGAUCUAGUCUGACCGGCUUUAUUGGCUAGGUCACAUUGCAAGUCGUAUGUGUAUACCGCAGCUGUUGUCUCCCUGCCUCUUCGGCGAGGAGGUGCGGGUUGGUGUUCUGCUUGAUAUGCCGCUUUAUCCCGUCCAUGUGGUGGUCGGUCUGGUUGGUUUGCCUGAUUGUAUUUCGACGGUAUGGCUCAAGGGCUUCGUCGUCGAACUGUGGCAGCAACUUGCGCUUAUGGUAGCAUUGAAUGGGUCGCUCGUGGCCGUAUUCUUCAGCAGCCAGGACCUUAGUCCAUGUUUCAUUAAGUAGAUCUUGUUCGGCUUUGAGCUACUGUUGCUUCUUUUUCAGGCUCCAGGUUAUAGCUAUGAGUUGUCGCUUGAAGCGUUCUUGAUCGAGGGGAUCCUCUAGGACGAUAAAAUCUUCGUCACCAAGGCUAACUUCCUCUUCGGUUUCUGGCAUGUAGUUGUUGUCUUCCGAAUCUUCGUGAUCAGCGUGUCCGGGACUAUAUUCAUUCUAUUCCCUUUUGUCAUGUUCGGAUGUGGGCUCGACGGGGUAUUCGGGAUCUUCGGCAUCGUCCGGUGUCUCAUUAUCUCUGGUGCCGAUAUUACUAUCCUUCGCCCAACGCGAUUGUGAGCGGCACCGCUGACAUCGGCGCUUUGGUGGUUUAUCGAUGGGUUUAUCCUCAUCGGGGCUCGGGUUAUCCUUGUCGUUCUUUUUAUCCAGAGUGACCACCAUGUACAGAUCGUAGGUUGAGGUGGCCGUCCAACGCCCCGUGAUGGGUGGGACUUGGCUUGGUUCGGCGUCGGCAUCGUCAUCCAUACCGUCGAUGUCUUCAGACGCGUAGUCCAGCAUGUUGGAUAAAUCCUCGAUAGUGGCUAUUUAGUGGGUGGUGGGUCGGGCGUAAAAUUCCCCGCUCUCAGCCCCCAGCCCGAGCUGGGUAUAGUUCUGAGGCAAAGCCCUCGUGAUGGCAAGAGACUGCAUUAAGUCCAAUGCUUCAUCUAGGAGCGAAGGUUGGAUCGGAAAAUGCGGAUUUGGUGGGCUGAGUUCGGUGUAGGACACCUGAUCAAGCCCGAUGAGCGCAGACCUCGACAGUUCGGAGUGAUUUCCAAGAGACAAAUCUAAGGUUGAAUCUGGGUCUUCAGUCAGGAGUUCCAAAAGGGGAAGAGGUACGGCGGGGCUCACGCUCCCAUCUUCGGACAGUAAGACCUGCCCCGGAUCUAAGGCCGGGGUAAGUAUUGGUGGCCCCUGAGCAGGAUCUAACAGGGGAUUCGAAGAGUCUUCUUGGCAGGGGAACAGAGCAGCAACCGAGGCCGUGAACUCGUUGAAGGCUAGAUCUCCUCGGAUGUCAGCAACAUAGUUCAGGUUUCCAAACCUAAUCUGGUGGCCGGGGGCAUAACUGUGGACCUGCUCGAGGCGACCGAUUGAGUUGGCACGAAGCACGAAGCCAUCAAACACAAAGACCUGUCCAGGGAGAAAAGUUUCCAUGGACACAGCAUCAUUGCUGAUGAAGAGGUGAGCCAUCAAUCCUUCUGUCGACGAUACAGUGGAGCUCUCAAUGAAAGCACCAAUGUCGAUGUCAAAACCGGCAAAUCUCGGGUAGGGAGGCGCAAGUUGUAUGUCUGAGGACCGAAGGUAACUAUGAACGAUAGACACAGUGUUUACCCAGGUUCCGGCCCUCUUAAUGGAGGUGAGAUCUUAAUGAAAGCACCAAUGUCGGUGUCAAAACCAGCAGAUCUCGGGUAGGGGGCCCAAGCUGUAUGUCUGAGGACCGAAGGUAACUAUGAACGAAGGACACAGUUCUUACCCAGGUUUGGGCCCUCUUAACGAAGGACACAGUGUUUACCCAACAUCAUUUUUGAUGAAGAGGUGGGCCAUCAAUCCUUCUAUCGAUGAUACAAAGGAGCUCUCAAUGAAAGCACCAAUGUCGGUGUCAAAACCGGCAGAUCACGGGUAGGAGGGCCCAAGCUGUAUGUGUGAGGACCGAAGGUAACUAUGAAUGAAGGACAUAGUGUCACGCCCAAUAUGCGACCCUAUCCUAAAGGAACUCGAAGGUCCCACCAAGGAUAGAAGCGCAUAUUGGAGACACUUUUGCAAGGUGGAUAUCAUUACAUCGUACCAUUACAUAAUAGUUGGGGAUACAUGCAAAGGGCAUACAAAUGCCACAUGAAUACAUCAAGCUUCGUACAUGAGAACAACAUCCGACUACGGAUGAAACACAAACAUAAACUCAAACGACAUGCACACCCUGCUACCCCAGGCUGCCGACCAGGAACCUAUCCCCUGAACGAACAAGAAGCAGAAGAAUAACUCCAAAACAAGUAAACAUCACUCUCAUGUCAUGAUCAUCACAUUACCUGUACCUGCCACUAUUGUUGUAGUAAUCUGUGAGCCACGAAGACUCAACAAUCCCAUUCCCAUGGGUAUCAAGACUAGCAAAGCUAAAUGGGUAAGGAAUGGAUAAGUGGUGAGGUUGCAGCAGCGGCUAAGCAAUGUAUGGUGGCUAACUUACGAGUACAAGAAUAAGAUGAGAAGCUACGCAAAUGGUCACAAACUAGUAAUGAUCAAUAAGUGAACCUUAACUACUUACGUUCAAACAUAACCCCACCGUGUUCUCUUCUCGACCCACUUGAAAAGAGACCAUCACAGUUACACACAUGGUUGGGUAUUUUAAUUUGAAUCUGGUGUCAAGUUCUCUACAACCGGAUAUUAAAAACACCCAUCUACCACAUAACCGUGGGCACGACUUUCGAAAGAUCAAACCCUACAGGGUUGUCCCAACUUAGGCCAUGAUAAGCUCACAAUCCGCGGAGACAAUCCUCCAUCGCGGGACAUCCGAUAAGACUCGGGAUCCCGAUGCACAAGAUAAUUCAACAAUGGUAAAACUAAUCCAACAAAGCCUCCCGGCGUGUCGACACCCUGAUAGUAGCCGCGCGUAUCUCGUCUCACGCCACGACCGGAUGGGUCAAGCUACGAGUAAAACCAGGUCCUCGGGUUUCCCCGUGGUGGCCCCACAGGUUGCCCAUUUGGGACCAACACCAUCAGCGUUGGCCCCUCCCUGCUAGGUAGAAAAUCCUCGGGUUCAUGACGCCCUAUGACAAUUAAUUAUUUAGUUCAAGUAUUAUUAUGGAAAAUGUUAAAACCAAUGUUGGGCCUUGCUGGAAGAGUUUUAUUCAAAGCAAACUAUCAAGAGGUCCCAUACCCCUCAUCAUGCUAGGGACGCAAAAUCAAGGAACAUAACACCAGUAUGACGGAAACUAGGGCGGCAAGAGUGGAACAAAACACCAGGCAUAAGGCCGAGCCUUCCACCCUUUACCAAGUAUCUAGAUGCAUUAAUUAAAUAAGAGAUAUUGUGAUAUCCCAUGAUAUCCAUGUCCCAACAUGGAACAACCUGCAACUGCACCUGGAACUAGCAACUCUAUAAGAAGGGCUGAGCAAAGCGGUUACAUAGCCAAACAACGGUUUGCUAGGAAGGGUGAAAAAUUUAGAGCCUAUCAUGGCAAUUUGGGACGCUUGAUAAACAAGUGGUAGGUAGCGCGACAUAGCGAUAGCAUCGAGACAAAUAGCAUAGCAAAGAUAGUAGCGAGAUCCACGGUGACAGUCAUCUUGCCUGAAAUCCUGCUAGGAAGAAGAACGAGUCCAUAAAGAAGACAAAACGGGCGUAGACGAACCAAGCGCAGACGAACGAAUCCUCACGAUCGCAACGAAACAGGAACUAUCGAGAAGUAGCACAACCAGAAAGAAGCAAAACAACAUAGUAAACAAACAAGCAUAAUCAUGGCAUGAUGCUCAAACAAAUAUGAUGCAUGAACAUUUUAAAAAGGCAUGGCAUGGCAAAGUGCAACAAUCAAAUACUACAGAUUAAGUGGAGCUCAAUAUGUAACGAGUUGCCUAUUGACGAAACACCACAUUCGAAAUAUUUAGUUCACUUUCAGUUAUGUACCCAACAAGUUUAAAAGUUCUUAACAUGGCAAGAGGUGAAGCAUAACAAAACUACACUAUCUAAGCAAUUUAAAUGGGGCCGGAAACAACAAACAACAAAUCCAGAAAAUCCCCAUGUUCAUAUUUUGGAUAUGGUAUGGUUCUGCCUAAACAAUAUUUAAUGUUGUUAAAUAGGGAAAUAAAGUGCAUGAAGUUAAUCUAUGCAUUUUUCUACCGCAAAUACAUAUAAAGUUUAUUAAAUUCAGAGCUACGGUUAUUUAGUUAUGAAAUAAACCAUUUUAGCAUGUUAUUUAUGUAAAUUAAAGCAAACAACAGGUUUAAGCAUUUUUAACAUGGAUGAAAGUUGGAUAUCAUGAAACUAGAUAAAAUUCUAAGCAUUUUACAUAUAUAGUGUAUUAAUUUGGAUGCAUGCAUAUUUAGUUAUUAAGAACACAAAACAGGGGCAUCUUUUGAAAUGAUGCAAAAGAAAAGAAAACAACAUGGGAACACGGGCUGAGCCAGCCACUGUCAACGAUGAGGGGGCCCGGCGUGCUGAGGUGGCAGGAGUGUGGGUGUGGACGAGGGUGUGUGUGGGAAGAGAGUGUCGGCGUCCUGGGAACGGGGGUCCCCAGACUUGCCUGCCUGCGGCCUGCGGCGUGGCUCAAAGGGGGCCCAGCACGGCCCAUCUUCAUCAACACAAGCUCAAGACCCUCGCGAGGGGCCAAGCCUCGCGGGGCGGACGACAAGGAGCUUCCUCAGGCACGGCCUCAUCAGGCUGGCGCAUGAGGAGGCGGAGAGUCCAAGGCGGGGUACCUCGCGAGGUGCCCAUGACGCAAGCCAUGACGACCAAGGGCGCCAGUCGGGCGCCAGCCCGCGCAGUGUCCUCCUUUCCUCUUUAGUGCAAAGGGAGCAAGCGCAGGCGAGAGCAUCAAGCAAAGGCAUCCAUUUCGGUGAAACAAGACCAAGACCAGCCCAACGGCAGGGAGGAAGUCAUUGUGGAGCCGAAGCAGGCGUCACCACCAGAGCCUUUGACAAGCGAGGACCAACUUUAGUCAGGAUAAGUGUACCUGCUAUUCCCCUUCAAAAUGGCCAAUUGUUGGCGCCCUUCCCGCUCAAUAUUUGGGAAGAGGCCCAGGGCCUUUGCCUAUAAAUAGGACUAGCCACCCCCAGGGUAGAGCCAUCGAGUGCCCUCGCUAGAAACCAGUAGAGAGAGCGACUGAACUCUUCCAAGUAGUUCGUCGCACCAGCCAAGAACAGACCCUCGCGAGGCUGUUCUUCUUUGUAUUGUUCAUCAUUAGCCCAAGAGGCAAUCCACCACACCAAACACUGGAGUAGGGUAUUACACCACAAUGGUGGCCUGAACCAGUAUAAACCCUGUGUCUCUUGUGUUGUUUCUUUCGUAGUUUAGAUCCUAGCGAGUCGGCGAGGAGCGGGUAGGCAGAGGGUGAAAUCUCCGCGCGCACCCCAGUGUUCGAAUCUCAAGGGUGUGCCGGAACCCGAAAUCCGACAUUUGGCGCGCCAGGUAGGGGGCCGCCAAAAUUCGCCUUCCAUCGUCUUGUUCUUCUCCGACCAUCGCAUCCAUGUCUGACGCACGUCGGGCUCGCGCCGAGCGCCGAGCCGCCCUCGCUUCUCGCGUCGCCCAGACGGCUCCCGUUGGCGGGGGCCCUCGUCGUUCCCUGUCACCUGCCGUCAACGCCGCCACCGGCCCGGCGGGGAACAAGCAGCAAGUCAUCGUCCCGGCAACCAUCCAUGAGGCGAGACGGCCACACUGCUACACCCUCGCUCACCCUGCUGGUUCUUCGCCCCGCGCGCCCCGCGCGGCCAUGGAGGCUCGAGCUGCACUCAUCGCGGCAAACGAGCUCCUGCGCUACGACCCAAUCGACGACGUCUACGAAGAGUGGCUCGACCGAGUCGCCGAGCUCGUCCGCGCCGCUGGGGGAUCCCCAACGCCGUCCUUCUCGCUGCACCGCGCCCCGCCCUGCGCGGGCAAUGAAGUUCCGGGGGCGCCUCAGCCGCCUCCCCCUCAAGAAGGCGCCCUGGCCCCAAGGCGCGCGACCCCUGGGCGAAACCCUCUCCGUCAGGCGCCAGCGCGGCAGGAGCAGAGCUGCCAAGAAGUCCCUCGGCCUCGAGAAGCUGCCUGAGCGCUCCCUGCUCCGGCUCGAGAAGCUGCCUGAGCGCUCCCUGCUCCGGCUCGUCGCGAACACGCUCCUACCCCAGCACGUCAGGACCCCGUGCUGCUCCCAGUUGCAGCGCAUGGGGACCCGCAGGACCAAGCUCUUCGUCACCCAAGGCCUCCCGUGGCCACAGCAGGUUGCCGCGCCUUCACCACUGAGCUGCGCAGCGUCGCGUGGCCCGGCAAGUUCAAGCCAGACCUGCCUCCUCGCUACAACAGCACGGCUGACCCUGCAGAGUUCCUCCAGCUAUACAAGCUGGGCAUCAAGGCUGCCAACGGAGACGAGAAGGUCAUGGCGAAC